rnacentral:lncRNA from 1 species
GCCAUUUCCGGCCACUAAAAAGUCAACCACCAUGUUCAAAUGCUGAAGCAAACAUACUACUUGUAAGUUGCAACCACAGUUAAAUUAGCAAUAAUUCCAAUAUUAUACACAAGCAAUUUUACACAAACCAGACAUCUGUUAAGCCCAUUUCCCUCGUGGCCCAUCCGUAUCACAAAAUCCCAUUAAGGGUCAGCACAAAAUAUCAAGUAUGAAAACCAAAUUUGAAGGAAAACAUAAUGGUCCUCCUCUACCUAGCAAGGAAAGUUUCAUUCUUUUGAAUAUGCAAGAACAACAUCUUCAGAAUGGCAAUUGUUUGUCUAUCAGAGCAAAAAACUGGCAACAGAACUUUGAUAACAGUUCAAAGAAAGCAUACAAAACUCGUUGAAAAUCUACUCCAUAACAGCAACUCCCCCUACAGCCUUGAUUUUCUCUAUAAUAUCAUUUGCCUCUUCUUUAGUGAUACCUUGCUUAAUUAAAACUGGUACUUUCUCAACUAAAUCUUUGGCUUCCUUCAACCCCAAAUUUGUGAAAGCACGAACCUCUUUGAUCACCUUAAUUUUUGCAGCAGCAUCAAACUUUUCUAACUUGACAUCAAAUGCAGUUUUUUCUACCUUCUUCUCCUCAGCCUUUGAAGACCCAACGCCAGACCCUCCCUGAGGACCCAAGUCCAUGCCCUCCACUAAAACUGGUUGAAUCUUAGGAUGCCUUAGUCUGUCUCUAAGUGUAGGACCAAUCACAUUACGCUCUUCAGGAGACAGGGCUGCAAUCUGUUCUGCAAGCCGAAUGAUCUUAUCUGAAGGUGGGGGUCUAGGGCCAUAAGGAUCAUAGAAAGCAGGAUACUUGUGUCUUACGGGCUUCGAUUUGGGAUCCCUGGGAAUGAAAUCAGGCUGAAAUGCACGAGACUGUAGAGGGCCGGUAACCACACGAAGAGCGGGAUAGCUACGUAAGGAUUUGAAAACUACAGAAAGCUUCAUGGUUUGAAGAUAGUUACAAAAAAAUAAAUAUUUAAGGAUGAUUUCUGGCGGAGCAGUGCCCUUUGGCACUUGUAGCACUAAAUGCAGCAAAUGAAUGUAAUCCUUCCUUCCCGUAUAGAAGCUUCACAUCCUAUUUCCAGUGAGCUUCUCACCUUAAGAAAAGAAAUGGGGAAGAUGUCAGUCUCAUUCAUAUUUUCAGGGACUAUCAUCUCAUUCUGGAAUAUGGAAAUCCUACUGGUAUAAGAAGACUAAUCAACAAUAUGACAUCCAGUAUUGCAAGCCAUUUACCACUCAUAAAUUUUCAGUCCAUCAAUCAGAUGCCAUUGGCUAGCAUGCUUGAUAAAUAUUUUUUGCAUGAAUGUGCUUUGGGAAAAAAGACCACAUGCAAGAAUGCUUUGGUAAAUGGUAGCAUUCUAGGAAUUGACUUCCAUGCAUAUACCCAGAGCAUGGCAGACAAGGCAUACAACAAAUAAAUACUAAACAAUGUUUUUUGGAGUAUGUUUGGUAUUAGGCCGCAUUCUUGCUUGAAAUCAAAUAUUACAAAGGAACAAUCUUUAAAGAGAGUGGUCAACUUAUGGAAUGAACCUAACCCUUCCGAAAAGCUAAUGUGCAAAAUAUACCAAUCGAUUCAAUAUUAAGUACCCUUGCAAGAUUUUCUUGUUCAAAAUCCAAACUAUCCAAUGUCUCAAUAAAUCAAAGGAGAAAGAGAAACUAGGAAAGGCAUUCGAGGGCUUAAGUAAGGAACAAGUGCAAGUACUUUUGGAUUAUUUUCAUUCAUAGUUCACUCACACGCAAAAGAAACCUUAACAGCCAACUUAGGGAAUAAAUCUUACAUCCAUCUUCAUUCAGGUUUCAGACCAGUUCCACCCAAAAAAUAAAAUAAAAUAACUCAGGCUCCAAAACUAACAAUUUCAUUGAACUUCAAUAGGUCUAAGCACAAAAUAAAAUCCAAUCACCAGAAACAAAUUGUUAUGACAAACGCUAACCGCUAAGAAAUAAAGGACUCUUGAGAGGCACAAUAAGGCAUUAGUAGCGAAAGGUUCACAAGCUACAAUCAAGAUCAAGAAACUAAAACAUAAAUAAAUCAUCCAUUUAACAGGGAGAAAAAAAUCCUUCAUAGCUAAAUAAACAAACAAAUGAACUUACCAAUUUGUUGUUGAUUUUGUGGGUUGCAUAAACUAAUACAGAGAAGGACAGUGAGGAGCGUCUGCGUGUGCAAUCGCGCGUAAGAACCCUGGCGGAUAUUUAAGUGCCCGUUUUGCAAUAAUGCCCUUGAUUUUUUUUUUAUUGAUUUUACUCUUUGGCCCCGUUUAUUACUUUACCAUUGUCUGGCUCCUUUAUGGCUAUAUCCAAUCGCCUUGUUUUAUUGUUUACCUUUUUUUUUACCUCAUAGGUGUUAGUAAUAAGGGAUAAUUCAAAAACAUCCAGAGAUUUCUCAUAAUAUCACUUAGCUUUCCUGAGAUUUGUGAAAUUUCGCUUACCUCCCCUGUCAGCCGGACAUGACUAAAUAUUCUUAUCAAAUGUCACAAAUUAACAAUAAUACCUUUGCCAUUAUUAAUAACUAUUUAACCAAAAAAUCAAAACAAAAUAAAAUGGUUAAACCAAAAUAUGUAGAUUAAAGUUUUCUGAUAAUGGUCUAUAUUUCUCUAUAUUGAGAUCAUGGUGAGACAGCAAAAGGCAUGGAUAUAUUAAAUCUAGUUAAAAUCAACCACUCAGAAGGAAUUGGUGAGUAAUUAACACCUUGAAAUGUUCUCUUAAUUCUUUGGAUGGAUGGAACUAUUGGGAAAUUGUUCUCUUAAUAAACAUGUUUGGUCUUGAUUCUUCUAGAAAAGAAAGGAAAAUCCUUAAAGGCGAAGGCAAGCUCUUCAAGUGUCGAACCUUGAACACGCAUGUUAACUUUUUUGCUUUUGGGUGAUGACAGUAGAUAACAUUACCAUGUGGAGCAUGACCCGAGAAAGACAAAGGUCUAGAGAGUGCAUGACUCUGUUCAUUGAUUGAUUUUCCACUUCCCAAGUGAUUGCAUUAGUUGAUCUUCCAACUUGGUUAAGGUAGUGGUUGAUGACGAAUGAGUUGAGGCUUUCCAAAAAGGAUUUGCCAACGUGGAUUCAUAAAUUAUUAGGGAUGUAAUCGAGCCAAAUCGAGAUCGGGAGCUCGACUCGACUCAUAUGUACCUAGGCUCAAGCUCGGCUCGAGCUCGACCGAGUCCAAAAAAUCGAUACUCGAGACUUGAUUCGAGAAACUCCCUUUAAGCUCGAGAUUCGACUCGAUAAGGCUCGACCUUUAGUCAAACCUUAUCAAGUCGAGUCUAAUCAAACUUUUUGACUCGAUUCGACCAAUGCCGACUGCUUCUUGCUUAAUAUCAAGCUUAUAUGAACUAUUACUGGGGAAAAUUCUGGCUGACUGGUAGACUGGAAAAAAGGGUGGAACAUAAGUCUGACCAAAAAAGGUGACGUUUUGGGAAGAUCCACAGGCAAGCAAGUAGCUAUCAGUUGGAGUAAAUGAGGCAUAUAAUCCAUGAUUCAUCGAUACAAAUACAACCAAAAGUAUCCACAUUCUACCUCCCACAGUUAGCAUCUUUAACACCCCUAAGUCCUGCAAAAGUACCCAAACUAACCAAAAUUCCCCACAAAAUUCCAAAACUCAGCAAAACAUGAGCUGAGCCACCAAAUUGAGAGACAAACAAUUAUCUUAAACAGCCACAAUAUCCCAACUACCACAAGCUCAAUUCAAGAAACUAAUGCCAAGAUCUAUCCAGAAAUUCCUUUUCCCCACAAAUAUCACUAAUUACUAACUAAAGAAAGCUGCUUUAAACAAGAACAUGUCAGAAAAAUAUAUUCUUGGUUCAGAAAUGGACCAUAGUCCAGCAGAAUUACAAGUGUUUGAACAAGAAUACAAGAUAUAGAAGAAUGAAGUUGAAAACUCUUGUCAUUCAGGAUUCAGCUGCUUCUCCGCACAGUAAGUUAGAUAGCAGUCAGCUCAUAGGGUCUCCCCGGUCACUUGGUUUAAGCAAACAUCACAAGUGAUUUUCUGUGAUUCUUACCAAAAAAAAAACAAGUGAUUUUCUGUGACAUGUAUCAGUCUUUCCAGAGCUAAUAAGGUUCGUUCUGUCAUCUCUUACACAUUUUGACAAACAUGUAGCAUGCAUCCCAGUCAUCUUAAAUUUACCCAUAAACAAGAUUGGUGCUUGUUUCCUAUGUUAAGGCUAUUAAAAUCACCAAUAUCCAACAUAAGCCAAAAAGGAGUAUUCCUAUCAAGAUUCCUCUUCUGGACUCAAACACGGUACAUGAAUAUUUGUCAGGGGGCAUCACAAUAUGAUUGGAGUAACCAGAUGCGGUAAUCAAUCAUACUACAUUAGAGCAGAGGCAGACAUACCAGUAACCAGAUGUGGCGAGCUCACUCUGUAGCGAUGGCGAUGGAGUCUGACAGAUGCGGCGAGCAACGGCGUCGGCGACGAGCGAGAGACUGAGAGUAACGGAGAUAGGGUUUAGAUCUAAAUCACUCAGAGUCUGUGGUUGGAAGGGAUGUACUUCGAAUAGAAAUUGAAUUUUUUCUCGAAACAAGUCUGGAAUUUUUCACAAUUUUUUGACACACUUUCCGUCUUUCCUUUCCUUUUUCUAGACAUUUUUUCUUUUUAGGUCUUUUUACAAUUAUAUUAUUAUUUUUUUGUCAUUAUGAAAUUUUAUUACAAAGAAGAGCAUAUUAUAAAUUCAGUAUAACUUAUGUCCAUAAUGGUCAUUUUUUAUAUAUAUAUUAUUUAAAUUAUAAAUAUAUUAUUUAUAAUUCACCCGACUCGACGAGCAGCUCGACAAGUCUCGAGCAUCAAAAUAUUGGCUCGAAACUCGACUCGAAUGACAAUUGAGUAGUUCGAAACUCGGCUCGAACUAGAUCAACCCGAAUUCAAGCCAAGCCGUUGACCGAGGUACUCGCGAGUAGUUCGACUCGCGUACAUCUCUAUUCAUAAUAUGUCAAUUGCCUUCCCAUGUUCUAACUCUUAUCCCUCUUAUGAAAGGCAAAGAUUUUUCAACUUUUUUUUUGAUGUGAAAGAACUAAUGAUGAAGAAAAGUAAACAUGAGCAAUGACUUUGUUUUAACUCCUCUUCCAUCACAAAAUCCUUAAUUAACACGGCUUUUAGCAUAAUACUUGGCUGCGACUACUUUUCCUCUUACCUUGCCACACAAAAUAAGCAAGAAAUUGACAAAUACCCUCUACGUGCCCUCAUAAGUAUUAUUUGGCUUGUAUUCUCCCAAGAUAUAGGUGCCUAUCAAACUAUAAUGCGACACAAGAAAAAGAAGAAGUGAAUAACAAAAUAAAUGUGAAAAUAAAUGCCAUAAAAUCAAACUAGUAUAGCUUACCUCUAUACAUAAGCUCUUUUUUCUGUUCAAAUUACUCAAUAGGAGUGCGCAUUAUAGCUGGCAAUUGGGCGGGUUGAACGGGUUUUGGGCGGAUUAAUAUUGAAUUUUCACUUAAAUGGGUUAUACCUAACCCGUCAAACUUUAGAUUGAAUUGAUUUUGGGUUGGUUCAUAUUGGAUUAUCUCAAAAUCUAUAACCCAAAUAUGACCAAACAUAUUAAUUAAUACAUUUUCAUACAUAAACUUUUUCACAUACAUUUUAACACACAAAAAAGAUUUUUUUCACACAUAUAAACACAUUUUCACAUACAUAAAUGUAUUUCACACACACAAACACACACUCACUUCUUAAGUUCCUUGGAAACAUAUCAUAAAUAGAAUAAUAUUUUAUAUUGCUUGUAUUGUAAAUUUUAGAUAAUAAAUUGUACAUUUAACGAAGAGCAUAGCGCCCCCCUCCCCCAACAAAACACCACCUUAAUCUUUUCAAUAAUCUCUUCCAUUGAUCCACUGUCAAUUUUUGUGUCCCUUAAAAAACUUUGAUUUGUGCCGUGCAUCUACUCUUAAUAUAUAAGACAUGUUAUAUAGGGAAUUUAUAUUUGGGAUUGUGUAAGACUCUGCUAGCUUGUUUUGUAUCUUAAUGAGCAACUCUUUGCCGGAUGCCCGAUUAAUUAUGAAUAUGAUAUUUCUAACGAUGCUGUUAAUAGGCUCAUAUUAUAUCAUAAUUUAACAUGUGAAUACACACAAUUACAAUUAUUACACUCCUCAUUUGAAAAAACUUUCUUAAAGUAAUUGUAAUUCUCCGAAAAAUGUAACACCUAAAGAUUCUCUUAAUUAUAGGAAUAUCUAUUAAUUCCAUUAGCCAAACUGUUUGUUUGUUGUUAGAAUUAGGGGGUAAAAUGAUGUGCGUCGUAAGUUUAGUUGAAAUCCCGUUUAUGAGAGGAGAAUUCGUGAACUAUUCUAACAUUUUUACCGCUUUGGGAUCGCAUUAUUUUGAAUUAGUGAAAAAUUAGGCUGCUCCAAAGUAAGCUUUUAUUUGUAAAUUUGAAGAAUCUGAAAUUAUAUAAUGCUGAAAUGUUAGAAAAGAAAUUUGUACAAUAUUAUACGUGCACGAAAUAUUAACAAACAAAAGCAAUCACGAAAUAUUAAAAAGGAAUGCAAUUAGAACACAUUUAAAACUCUAUAUUGCGUACACAAAAUAUUAACAAACAAAAGCAAGUAGCAACUUGAGAACAACCACACAAAAAAAAAGAAAAAAAAUGGGAGGAAAACAACAUAUUCUUAAAAGGCAUAAUAAAUUAUUAUAGAAGUUGAACAAGUUUAACUACUGUUAUAAAAGUAAAAUAAGCAUGAGUUUUUAUUUUAAUUUUUAUUUAAAAUUGAAAAGAAAUAUAUAUAUAUAUAUGUAUAUAUAUAUAUGAGAAUUUUGAAUACAAAUUAAUCAAUGAAUUAUUAACACAUGUUCAAAUACAAAUAGUUGGACAUAUGUGUAUUGAAUAUUGUAGUUAUUAUUUUGAAUUAGGGAAAAUACCGAUUUUCAUCACCAAACAUUGUACACAAGACACAUUUCGUCCCUCAUCUUUCGGACAUGACACAUUUGGUGUCUGAAUUAACAAUUUUUGACCAAAUGUCAUCCUCAGACGACAAUUUAGCCAACCUUUAACGAAACCGAUUUACACGUGACCGUUAAGUAAAUGUGGCUAUCCGAAGCAAAAUCAGGUGGAAAAUGACGUUGUCUUCACUUUCCCUUUUUCUUUCACUUCAACAACUUCUUCUACAAAUUUCCAAGACUAAGCUCCUACUACAAAUUUGUCCGAGAGUAAACCCCCUCUUCCAAUUAUAAAUAUAUAAUUAUAAUUAUAUAAUACACAUAAAUAUUACUUAUACUAAUAUUUUAUAUAAUUAUAAUGUAUAUUAGAUAUUAAAUUUAAUCAUUAUAUAACAUUAUAUUCAUAAUAAUAAAUAUAAAUAUAAUUAUAUAAUUUAUUAAUAUUAUAUACACAUAUAUAUUAUAAGGGAUAAUUUCAGAAACCUCCCCUGAAUUAGCUUAUGGAAAAAUGGGAAAAUGGAUAAUUUAUGGAGGAAACCCAUAAAGAGUUGGUGUUUUAUUGGAGAAUAGGUUUAUUUUUAUUUUAUCCGAUAAAUAAAUUUGUUUAUGAAAAAAUGGGUAUUCUAUUCUUAUAAUGGAGGAAAGCCAUAAAGAGCUGGUGUUUAUUGAAAAACGGGUUUAUUUUUAUUUUAUUCGAUAAAUAAAUUUGUUUAUGAGAAAAAUGGGUACGCUGUUCUUAUAAUGGAGGAAAGCCAUAAAGAGCUUACAGAAAGUGACCGCGAUUUGGUUUAUGAAAUUAUCCCAAAAAAAUUUAGAAUGAAUUUGUUUAUUUAAUUAAAUAGUUAUAAUAUACAUUUAUAUAAUACACUAUAUAAUUAUACUAAUAUUAUUAUAAAAUAUAUAAUUAUAACUAUAUAAUAUAAAUAAAUAUUAAUUAUACUAAUAUAUUAUAUGAUUAUAAAGUAUAUUAUAUAUUAAUUAUAAUUUUUAGUAUAUAUUAGUAUAUUUAUAAUAAUAAAUAUAAUUAUAAUUAAAUAAUAUAUUAUUACUAUAUACACAUAUAUAUUAUAAAUAUAUACACAUAUAAUAUACAUUUAUAAAUAUAUAUAUAUAAAUAUAUUAUAGUUAUUAGGGUAUAGUUAUUAUAGUUAUUACCCUAAAUAUAUUAUAGUUAUUAGGGUAUAUACCCUAAUAAUAUAUUUAUAAAUGUAUAUUAAAUGUGCAUAUAUUUUAAUAUAUAUGUGUAUAUAGUAAUAAUAUAUUAUAUAAUUAUAUUUAUAUUUAUUAUUAUAAAUAUACUAAAAAUUAUAAUUAAUAUAUAAUAUACUUUAUACUCAUAUAAUAUAUAAGUAUAAUUAUAUAACGCAUUAUAUAAAUAUAUAUAUAAUAAUUAUUUAAUUAAAUAAACAAAUUCAUUCUAAAUUUUUUUUGGAUAAUUUCAUAAACCAAAUCGCGGUCACUUUCUGUAAAGUAUCACUUUCCCAUAAAAGACUAGCUCUUUAGGGUUUCUCUCUAUUAUAAGAACAGAGUACCUAUUUUUUCAUAAACAAAUUUAUUUAUUGAAUAAAAUAAAAAUAAACCCGUUCUCCAAUAAAACACCAGUUCUUUAUGGUUUUCCUGCAUAAAUUAUCCAUUUUCCCAUUUUUCCAUAAGCUAAUUCAGGGGAGCUUUCUGAAAUUAUCCCUUAUAAUAUAUAUGUGUCUAUAAUAUUAACAAAUUAUAUAAUUAUAUUUAUAUUUAUUAUUAUGCAUAUAAGGUUAUAUAAGGAUUAAAUUUAAUAUCUAAUAUACAUUAUAAUUAUAUAAAAUAUUAGUAUAAGUAAUAUUUAUAUGUAUUAUAUAAUUAUAAUUAUAUAUUCAUAAUUGGAAGAGGGGGUUUACUCUCGGACAUAUUUGCAGUAGGAGUUUAGUCUUGGAAAUUUGCAGAGGAAGUUGUUGAAGUGAAAGAAAAAGGGAAAGUGAAGACAACGUCAUUUUCCACUUGAUUUUGCUUUGGAUAGCCACGUUUACUUAACGGGUUUCACGUGACCGGUUCCGUUAAAGGUUGGCUAAAUUGCCGUCUGAGGAUGACAUUUGGUCAAAAAUUGUUAAUUCAGACACCAAAUGUGUCAUGCCCGAAAGAUGAGGGACGAAAUGUGUCUUGUGUCCAAAGUUUGGGGAUGAAAACCGGUAUUUUCCCUUUUGAAUUACUUUUAAACAAAUUGAGUAUUGGGUACCCAAAUAAAAAACCCAACCUGCCCAAUAAAUAAGUUGGGUUGUUCUUACCCAAUCCAACAAAACCCAUAACCUAAUUGACCCAACCCAUCCUUUAAAAUUAAUGGGCGGGUUGGGUGGGUUAUUAGGUUUUGAACUUUUUUGCUAGCUCUAGUGUGCAUCGAAAUCAAAUUUGGUAAUUUGAAACUUUGAAUUUGAAAUUUUUGGAAUUUUGAAUAUUAGAAAAUUCGAUUGGUUUCAAAUUCUGAAUUCGAAUUCGUUCUGAAUUCAAUUUGAAAGUUGGUAAUAAUCGAUUUCACCUAAUUCGGUAAUUAUAUGUAAGUUUUGCUAAACUAAAUGCCAACUUUUGUAUAAUAUAAGUUUAUAGUUAUAACAUAAUAUACAACUAACUUCAUUAGACUUAUUAUUGUAUUGUUUUAUAAUAUAAUUAUUAGUUAGAUGUAUUCUUAUAUAAUAUAUAUUUUUAUAUUACAUAUAUAUUAAUAUAUAUAUAUAUAUAACACAUAUGAAUUUGAAAUCGAAUUAAGUAUUCGAUUCCGAUCUCGCAUUGUGAAUUCGAAAUCAAAAAUUCCGUUUUGAGAAAACAUAUUCCCAAAUUCAAACCAAACUCAUAUAUUUUGAAAAAAAAAUCCGAUUUCCUUUCCGUUUUUCUCUUUACUGAUUUUGUAAAUUCCCAAAUUUGAAUCGAAUUCGAUCGAUAAAUCGAUUUUUUUUAAGUUACACGCUCCUAUAACUCAGAAUGAAUCACGUUUGAACUGGUGGUAAAUUAAGAAUUUUAUUAACUCUAUUUUCACCAAAAAAAAGAAAUUUUAUUAACCCUAUUUUCACCAAGACAAGAAAAAAGAGUUUAUUAUUAACCCCUCAAAUGCAAGUUAUGAGCAUGAUGUCGUUAAGGUAUAAACUUUGGAUCAACUGGUUGUACAUUAAGAAUACAGAUAAGUUACAACCUAUAAACUACUAAUAAGUUACAUUAUUGAUUUGCAAUUGCACUGUUCAGAUUCAAUGGAAUAAUUCUGGUCUGCCAAUGCUCAAACAUCCCUUCGAGGCUACAGUUUCUUCCUUUUUUUUUUUUGUCGGUCAAAGUAAGCAAAGGGCAGCUUUUUGUCUUUGGUCGCUUUAGCAAGCAUUUUACCUGAGGAAUGGAGACAAAAAAAUAAAAGCACGCAGCAGUUUUUUUUUUAAAUUAUGACAGCAUGUCCAUGUUUUAUAGAGAAUAGGAAGAAUUUUUUUUUAAAGUACAUUUUAUUUUUUUUUCUUUCACUGUAAUCAUUCACUAAUGAAAUUAAUUUAAAAAAAAAAAGGAAAGUAAUUUCUUGCGUUGAACACGUAUUAAAGAGAGAUUAGAAAAAGAAGGUUAGUUCAAACAGUUACUUUCGAUGAAGAUGACAGACUUUGGCGAUUAUGUAAUUUACACACAAGGAAAACAAAGGGAAAAUAAUCUGGGAGAAAUCAUGAGGAAUACAGUAACAGAAGGAAAAAGGAGGACAGAGUCCAGUCAACGACAAAGGAUAUCUUCCACUAUGAUAUUCUCCACUGGCUGUCCUCCUGUAGUCUUUGCAGCAUCCCCAAAAUUUUGCUCCGUUAGUCCAAACUUGAUCCUUCAGUCCCCAAAAUUUUGCUCCGUUAAAUCUUCAGCCAACCAGCAAGGUAAGUUCAGUCGCUAAAACUUGUACAACCCUAACAAAUAUGAGCAGAUGUUGCCAUGCAGGAGAUGACAAGUUCAAAGAACCGAAGGAAAACUGCCUCAAAGACAUUAAUACUGUCCACUGCAGUACAAGUGAUCCUUCAUCUGCCUCAGAUUCAGCUCCCAGCGAUCCCAUGGUCUGAUUCUUGUCCCCAAAUGUCUAUGAUUUUUCAUGCUUGAUUCUGAUUGGAUGGGCAUAAUUCAAAUGUUAGAUGGGUUUUUGGAUUGUUCAAAGUUUAAGAUUAUUAGGACUUGUUUGGAAUCAAAGUUUAUUGUCAAGUUUGUUUGUUACAAAUUUUUUAAAAACUUUAUACUACGGUAAAUUAAAAAUAUUUUUUAAAAAUUUUAAAUUAUACAUUUUAAAAUAUUAAAAAAAUAUAAACGCCGUUUGGAUGGGAGUAUUUUUCAAAAACUAAUUUUUUAAAUAUAAUAAAAAUUUUUAAAAUGUAUUCUAAAAGAUAAUUUAAAAUUUAAUUUAAAAUUUAAAAUUAUAUUUUAAAAAUUCUUUUACUCUUAAAUAUUUUAAAAUAUUUUCUAAAAAUAUUUUAAAAUAUAUUCUAAAAAUUAUGCUAUAGUAAAUUUUUUUAAAAAUAUUCCAAAAAAUAGUUAAUCCAAAUGGAGCCCUAUACAUUGAAAAUUUUUUUUAAAAGCUUCUACAAGUAAACUAUAGUAAAAUUUUAGACAAACUCCAAAGAACUCACUUUCCAAAAUUGCUUAUGGGUUUCGUAGUGAUUAGCCAUAAACUAGUGGUGGAGUCAUGACCUAUGGUCUGACAAUAAAAUAUUAUACACCUAUAUGAUCACGUAAUUAUUAUGUGAAGAGAAAUUUAAUUAAAAAUUAUGUUUUUACUACGAUUUUUUUGUGUUGUGAAAUUAUUGAAGUUAUUUAUUAUUCAAGUAGUAAUCAAUUUUGUAGUUUAAUAGCUUUAAAACAUUUCUAUUAUAGGAGAGAUAUUUCAAAAAUUGGUUGUCAGAUAUAUAAUGUGUAUGGAAUGAGGUUUCUCAUAAUAUAAGGUGCAAUGAAAAGGGAAAUAUAUUUUAUUCCCGAAAAUUGAGGGGUGCAAUUAUGAUAAAAACAUAAAAAUUUAUAGCAAUUUUAAGGUUAUUCUUUAAAUUUUGCAACGUUGAGAGGCAAUUGCCCGCCCUCAACAUACCGCGGCUCUGCCACUGGAUGGUACCACAAUCUUCAGGAUGAUGCAUAAAUGGGACUGGUUGGACGUCUAGGCUAAUACGACUAGGCUAAUAACAAAAACUGUUAUUACAAGAUAUGCUUAAAGAUAUUAACUUCUACUGUUUCUGGAAUGCAGGCUAUGUUGAAAAAAGCUCGCCCUCCAAAGCUAGAUUGGUACGAGGAGUUAUAUGCGUGGGUUAUGGGGAAAUUCAAUAAACGUUACGAGGCUGAGGUUGGUGGUGGUUAUGAGCAGUAAAUUCUUGGUAUGUUGACCAUUUGGUUCAGUAGAAGAAUACUUAUAAAUGCCUAUUUUCUUAUAAGAUUGCAGGCUAUAAGUCUGAACUUUUUGCUAAUCUGAGAGGAAAGGCUAAUAAGAAAACCAUUUUGGUUGCUUCUACGGUGGAAAGUAGGUUGACCUGCCCACCGUAGACAGAGAGAGUGCUAGAAGGACAGCUCAGCACAAGCAUAUCUAUCCAUGUUUUUGGGGCCCAGUUGAGAAUAGGUGACCGGCAAAGCCUUUUUAUCAUCUGAAGGAGCUAAGAGCAAAUACUAAUAUAAAUUGGGUUGGGUGAUUAAAUAAAUUAGUGAAACGAUAGAUGCUAUACUGGAAUAACAAUAAGAGCCAAGUUUGUCCUUUUUGAAUUUGUUAUCAUCUGAGGCGGAGGAAACAGAAGGUGGGAUAAAAAAUUUUCACAUUAAAUUAAAUUAUUUUUUUUAACUAAGCAACUAACUUUUAUUUACCUUGUAAUUGUUUUUUAACAUAAUUGGGUUUCACCUUUUUACUUUAUCAUCAAUUGCAUUUUUUGCUUGCUUGUUUCAAUGGAUUUGCUAUCAUUAGAUAAUCCUAUCACAACAAAAUCUUUUAAUUCAGCACUUACUUUUAAGUGUAAAGUUUGAUUUUUACUAUGAUUUGAUUAUCCUUAUCAUUAGAUCAUUUUAAUAUUUAAAAAUUCUCAAAUUUUGACACUAAUUUACUGGUCAAAUUUGUGAUUUAUAGUUUGUCAUGUCCAAUACAACUAGUUGCAGAGUUAGAAUUUAAAUUCAUAACCAUCUAGUUAUUUUAAUAGUUCAAACGUUCAAUCUUUGAAACUUUUGUAUUAUAUGAUUUAUGUUUAUGAUUAUUUUAUCUACAAUCUCAAUUCUAGUUUCUUGGUGUAUUAUGUUAAUUAUAUUUAUGAUUACUUAUCUACAAAUUUGAUAUCAAUUUGAAAGCCACUAUGUUACGUAUAAGAUUACUUAUCUAAUUUCUAAAUUAAAAUUAAAAUCUACCAGGUCAAUUAUGUCACGAUUCUGGUUUUUUGUAACACUGUGUUAAUUAUAUUUCUAAUUAUUCAUCUACAAUUUUGAUUCCAAUUAAAAAAAUCACUAUCUAUGAGGACUUAGUUAGAGGGAUCGCUGUUAGUAUAAACUUUUUAAUACCAUUUUCUAAACUUUCAAUUUUAUCCUUAGGGAAAAACUUUUAAUUUUUGCUCUAAUUGUUUAAUCACAUUUUGCCAAUAUAACUACCCUAAGUAUUGUAAUUACCAACUUACUAUAACCUUAUGAACCAAAAUUCUUCAAUAAAUUAUUGUGAAAAAUAAAAUUUUUAUAAAAUUAAUUCCUUUUAAUUAUUUAUGUAUAUAAUUACUCAUCUACGCGAACUAACAAUUAAAUUUAAUCCUUAAGAUUGUAGUACACAUAAAUACAUUUAUGGGCUUUUAACUUACCAAAAUUGCCCUUCAAAUUUUGUCCUUCGCCAAUUUGGCCUGAGAGCUGCUCCCUUAUGUAUAUAAUUACUCAUCUACGCGAACUAACAAUUAAAUUUAAUCCUUGAGAUUGGAGUACACAUAAAUACAUUUAUGGGCUUUUAACUUACCAAAAUUGCACUUCAAAUUUUGUCCUUCGCCAAUUUGGCCUGGGAGCUGCUCCCCAGCUAAUGCCAAUUAUUGGAUAAUCCGACAAACCCAAUUAAUCCAUUCAGAAUUAUCUUCUCCCAAGUCUCUUCUCUUCCUCCAUCCUUUUUUUUCAAAAUUUUCAUUUUGUCAUGAUCUUAACUAAUUUUGUUUCAUUAUUAUUAUUAUUAUUGUUGGUUUUAUUUUAUUAUUUUAUUUUCUCUUAGUUUGUUAACUUGCUCAUUUUUUAGCAUUACCAAUUUAUAAUAAGUUUUAGCCUCUUUUUAUAUUCUUAUUAUUCAAUUAUUAAAUAAUAUGUAAUUUUGUGACAUAGAGUAUAAAUGAAAAAAAAUUGGUAAUUAGGCUUAUUGAGCAUUAUAAGUAAAUAUUUAAAACUAAUGAUGGGUACAAAGAGUGGUAUAAAUUGAUAAUUUAGUUUGCAAAAAUGAAUUUAAAUGAGUUUAUAAAAAGUUAAAAUAAAUGGGUUAUAAAUGGAUAAUUGGGUUAUCCAUUUCAUUUUUCCCUUACCCAUUUAUACUCAUUUAAUUAAAUGGGUAUAAAUGAGUUGACUCACUUAUACCCAUUACCCAUUUUACCCAAUCCAAACCCACCCAAGUCAUCCAUUUUGACACCUCUAGAUGAAACCAGGAAAUCUUGAGUGAAUAAAUGACUUUCUUGCAUCAAAACCUGAGUUUUGUUAUUAGCUAUUACUGACAAGGUGUUUAACAUACCAGUCCAGUUUUCAGAGUUACUAUCCCGAGUUCAACAUGCCAUGUUGGUGCCAGCUGGGUUAUGGUUAUGAAAUUGGUUUCUUGUUAAUUAUUAUUACAAAAAAUAUUUAUAAUUGGAAAAGAUUCAAUUCUUGCAUACUGAAUAAUAAAUAUUUAUAGGAAAAAUCGUUUAAAAUGUCUUUCACAUUUCGUUAAAUGAAAUAGUAUUUUUCUUAAAGAAAAAAGAAAAAGUUGGUUAAAUUAUAUUAAAAAAGAAUUAAAAAGGAAAAAUGCAAUAAAGGAAAAAUGCUUUUGAACCAAUAAAUAGAAUUAAAAAAUUAAAUGACAAAAAUUGGAUAAAUUACUUUAAACAAAAUAGAAAAAAAGAACACUUUAAAAUGUCUUUAAAGACGUCAUUUUAAAAUAAUUGGGGAUGUUGCAUUGGGUCAGGGGAGGUUUUUGCAAUUAUCCCAAAAAACAAUGCAAUCCUCUGCAGAGUGUUUCUCUCACCAACAAGAUAAAUAAUAACCAAGACAGCUAAAAUAUUCUUCUCAUGCGCCAACCUUUCCCUUGAAGAGUGGAUAAGCCUGGUUUAAAUUCAACACGACGUGAGUUAAGAAAAAUUUAUGGCAAAGACCUACAAUUCAAACCGAAAGCCUGAAAUGACAUUUACCAGAAGAUCAAUGUCACAAAAUCACAAAGAAAAGUAUAGGGAUAAUUGCAGAAACCCCCCUGACUUUUAUAGUAAUAGCAUUGACCUCCCCUAUCAAUUUUGAAAUAGCACUGACCUCCCCUAUCAAAAGUUGGAGGCAAUUUAAUAGGCAAAAGUGGGUCAAUUUACUAAAGUACCCUUGACAUGAUUUAAUUUUACCAAAUGAAUGUGAUUAGUACUUUCAUCAAAUCCAACAAAACAUUUGUUAAUAAAAAUUACACUAAAUUAACUAUUUCUGCAUAGUUUAACUAAUUAACUAGAUAACUAAUAAUCUAAUUAAUUAAUAACUAAUUAUCUAAUUAACUAUUAACUAAUUAACUAAUUAUCUAAUUGUUAAUAGUUAUUAACUAAUCAAACUAUUUCUGCAUAAUUAAACUAAUUAACUAUUAACUAAUUAUCUAAUUAAUUAAUUAACUAAUUAACUAAUUUCUUUUUAUCUAAUUAACUAAUCUCUAUUUAUUUGAUUAACUAAUUAACAAAAUCUGUUGUCUGUCCGAAGCUAAUAAACUAUUUGCAUGUUAAACUAAUUAACUAAUUAGCUGCUUAACUAAUUAACUACCUAAUUAUCUAAUUAAUUAAUUAACUAAUUAACUAAUUUUUGUUUAUCUAAUUAACUAAUUAACUAAAGUUGUUGUCUAUCCGAAACUAACAAACUAUUUGCAUGUUAAACUAAUUAACUAAUUAACUGCUUAACUAAUUAACUAAAACUGUUGUUUGUCCGAAACUAACAAACUAUUUGCAUGUUAAACUAAUUAACUACUUAACUAAUUAACUAACUAAUUAUCUAAUUAACUAAUUAACUAAUUUCUGUUUAUCUAAUUAACUAAUUAACUAAUUAACUAAAACUGUUGUCUAUCCGAAACUAACAAACUAUUUACAUGUUAAACUAAUUAACUAACUAAUUAUCUAAUUAAUUAAUUAACUAAUUAACUAUUUUCUAUUUAUCUAAUUAACUAAUUAACUAAAGCUAUUGUCUGUUCGAAACUAACAAACUAUUUACAUGUUAAACUAAUUAACUAAUUAACUGCUUAACUAAUUAACUAAUUAAUUAACUAACUAUUUGCAUGUUAAACUAUAUGCAGUACGCAUUACCUAUUUAAAGUAUCGGCUCUUUAUAGCUAUUUUACUUUCAAACAUUUAAUUUAUAAUAAAAACAUCAAUGUUUGUAAGUAAAAUUCAACAAGUGUUACAAAAAAUAUCAAUAUUCUUACUUUCAAACAUUUAAUUUAUGGCCCUAUGCCCCUCCAUUUUUGUAAGAAUAUUACUGUAACACUUGUUGAAUUUUACUUACAAACAUUGAUGUUUUUAUCAUAAAUUAAAUGUUUGAAAGUAAAAUACCGAUAAAGAGCCGAUACUUUAAAUAGGUAAUGCGUACUGCAUAUAGUUUAACAUGCAAAUAGUUUGUUAAUUAAUUAGUUAAUUAGUUAAGCAGUUAAUUAGUUAAUUAGUUUAACAUGCAAAUAGUUUGUUAAUUUCGGAUAGACAAUGGCUUUAGUUAAUUAGAUAAAUAGAAAUUAGUUAAUUAGUUAAUUAGUUAAUAAUUAAUCAGAUAAUUAGUUAAUUGUUAAUUAGUUUAACUAUUAACUAAUUAGAUAAUUAGUUAAGCAAUUGUCAAGCAAAUAAUAAUUGUCAAGCAAGAAGAGGGCAAAAUUGGAAGAAAUUUCUUAUCUCACUUCUACAAAAGCUGUCAAGGAGGUUUCUGCAACAAAUUGUUACUGUUCAGGGGAGGUGAAUGCAAUUUCUAAACCUAGAGGGGAGGUCAGUGCAAAUCUCAGAAAUCUCAGGGAAGGUUUCUGCAAUUAUCCCAAAAGUAUAAUCUUUUUCUUUCUCAAGUCGAAUGAUAGGAGCAAAGCUAGUCAACAUUCAAAAGAUGCCUUAAAAAAAAUUUAAAAAACAGCAAAUGUCUACACACAAAGGAAAACUUUUCUUUCCCACAUCAUUUGCCCCCUCUGGAAUUUUCCCCCUUUUUGGCUUUAGUUUUCUUAUGAUUAUGAGCACAGCUAAAAAUACUCAGCUACAGUGACAACAUAAUUUUUAAUGUAAUAACCCGUAAUAAUUCACUAUUAUUACAAAAUCAUUGAAACUAGACUACAACCGCCAACUGCUGUAUCUCAAGCUAUAAUUUUUUAAAAUAAAUGAAAAAACAGCUAAGCACAGAAUAAUUCCCAAUCAUUCGUACCAUAUUAUGUAAAAAGAAAGAAGCAAUUAAAAAAUUUGAACUUUACGAGAAUUACUACCAACCCAGAAAUAAAAACUCCUCAAAUGAAGAAUACCGCAUCUGCCACCAAAGAUUCACAAGGACUUGUGAAGCUUAAAAAAAUAAACAAGAAAUGCAAUCCAGCAUUGAAGGACUAAAAAACAAUUUUUUUAGAUAACUAAGCACAUAUUUACAUGAAUGAUGGUGCUGAUGUAAACAAACACAAUGGGCUUACGAAUUUAUUAUUGAUUCUGUUGGGCUUCUGCUGGGGAAAGGAGUGAAGGUUGAGAGUGUGAAUUGUCAGCGUGUAGAAAAUAGAAAUGUGAGUAUAAGAACCCUAAUUUGACGGAGAGAGCGCGAUUAUUUAAGCGUCCUUGUUGCUGACACACCCUCAAAUUUGGCUUGAUUUCUGGUUGUGUCCCCGUAUAUUUACUGUGCUCUUUGUAAUGGCCCCCGAACAUUUUUUUUUAAAUUUUUAUUACUACAUUAAAUGUGCUUGUUUUGUUUCUAGGGAAAUGACGGAGGAAAAGUAUGAAAAGUGUAAGUGUGUAUUUUUCUUUUUUUCUUGAGCUAGAUAUUUUAACUUAGCUUUAUACUACAAGAGAGUAAUAAAUUCUUAUGUCCUUUCGUAGGUGGAGUAUAAAUAUAUAAUCAAAUUCGAUUUAUAUAAAAAAAAUCAUCGAUUUAUCGAUCAAAUUCGAUUCAAAUUUUGGAAUUCUCGAAAUCAGUAAAGCGAAAAACGAAAAGGAAAUCGGAUUUUUUUAUUUUCAAAAUAUACGAAUUUGGUUUGAAUUUGAGAAUACGUUUUCUCAAAAUGGAAUUUUGGAUUUCGAAUUCACAAUGCGAAAUCGGAAUCGAAUACCUAAUUUGAUAUUCAAUUUCAAAUUUGUAUGUGUUAUAUAUAUUAAUAUAUAUGUAAUAUAAAAAUUUAUAUUAUAUAAUAAUACAUCUAAUUAUAAUUAUAUUAUAAAACAAUACAAUAAUAAGUCUUAUUAAGUUAGUUGGAUAUUAGGUUAUAACUAUAAACUUAUAUUAUACAAAAGUUGGCAUUUCGUUUAGCAAAACUUACAUAUAAUUACAGAAUUAGGUGAAAUCGGUUAUUACCGACUUUCAAAUUGAAUUCGGAAUUUGUGAAAUCGAAUUUGAAAUCGAUCGAAUUUUCUAAUGUCCAAAUUUCCAAAAAUUUAUUACCGAAUUUGAUUUCGAUGCACACUCCUGUUGAGUAAUUUGAACAAAAAAAGAGCUUAUGUAUAGAGGUAAGCUAUACUAGUUUGAUUUUAUGGCUUUUAUUUUCACAUUUCUUUUGUUAUUUACUUCUUAUUUUUCUUGCGUCGCAUUAUAGUUUGAUAGGCACCUAUAUCUUGGGAGAAUACAAGCCAAAUAAUACUUAUGAGGGCACGCAGGAGGUAUUUGUCAAUUUCUUGCUUAUUUUGUGUGGCAAGGUAAGAGGAAAAGUAGUAGCAGCCAAGUUUUAUGCUAAAAGUUGUGUUAAUUAAGGAUUUUGUGAUGAAAGAGGAGUUAAAACAAAGUCAUUGCUCAUGUUUAAUUUUCUUCACCAUCAGCUCUUUCACGUCAAAAAAAAAAAGUUGAAAAAUCUUUGCUUUUCACAAGAGGGAUAAGAGUUGGAACAUGGGGACGCAAUUGACACAUUAUGAAUCCACGUUUGCAAAUCCUUUUUGGAAAGCCUCAACUCAUUCGUCAUCAACCACUACCUUAACCAAGUUGGAAGAUCAACUAAUGCAAUAACUUGGGAAAUGAAAAAUCAAUCAAUGAACACAGUCAUCCACUCUCUAGACCUUUGUCUUUCUCGGUCAUGCUCCACAUGGAAAUGUUAUCUACUGUCAUCACCCAAAAGCAAAAAAGGUAACAUGCAUGUUCAAGGUUCGACACUCGAAGAGCUUGCCUUCGCCUUUAAGGAUUUACCUUUCUUUUCUAGAAGAAUCAAGACCAAACAUCAAAUUUUUUUAAAAAUAUUCCAAAAAAUAGUUAAUCCAAAUGGAGCCCUAUACAUUGAAAAUUUUUUUUAAAAGCUUCUACAAGUAAACUAUAGUAAAAUUUUAGACAAACUCCAAAGAACUCACUUUCCAAAAUUGCUUAUGGGUUUCGUAGUGAUUAGCCAUAAACUAGUGGUGGAGUCAUGACCUAUGGUCUGACAAUAAAAUAUUAUACACCUAUAUGAUCACGUAAUUAUUAUGUGAAGAGAAAUUUAAUUAAAAAUUAUGUUUUUACUACGAUUUUUUUGUGUUGUGAAAUUAUUGAAGUUAUUUAUUAUUCAAGUAGUAAUCAAUUUUGUAGUUUAAUAGCUUUAAAACAUUUCUAUUAUAGGAGAGAUAUUUCAAAAAUUGGUUGUCAGAUAUAUAAUGUGUAUGGAAUGAGGUUUCUCAUAAUAUAAGGUGCAAUGAAAAGGGAAAUAUAUUUUAUUCCCGAAAAUUGAGGGGUGCAAUUAUGAUAAAAACAUAAAAAUUUAUAGCAAUUUUAAGGUUAUUCUUUAAAUUUUGCAACGUUGAGAGGCAAUUGCCCGCCCUCAACAUACCGCGGCUCUGCCACUGGAUGGUACCACAAUCUUCAGGAUGAUGCAUAAAUGGGACUGGUUGGACGUCUAGGCUAAUACGACUAGGCUAAUAACAAAAACUGUUAUUACAAGAUAUGCUUAAAGAUAUUAACUUCUACUGUUUCUGGAAUGCAGGCUAUGUUGAAAAAAGCUCGCCCUCCAAAGCUAGAUUGGUACGAGGAGUUAUAUGCGUGGGUUAUGGGGAAAUUCAAUAAACGUUACGAGGCUGAGGUUGGUGGUGGUUAUGAGCAGUAAAUUCUUGGUAUGUUGACCAUUUGGUUCAGUAGAAGAAUACUUAUAAAUGCCUAUUUUCUUAUAAGAUUGCAGGCUAUAAGUCUGAACUUUUUGCUAAUCUGAGAGGAAAGGCUAAUAAGAAAACCAUUUUGGUUGCUUCUACGGUGGAAAGUAGGUUGACCUGCCCACCGUAGACAGAGAGAGUGCUAGAAGGACAGCUCAGCACAAGCAUAUCUAUCCAUGUUUUUGGGGCCCAGUUGAGAAUAGGUGACCGGCAAAGCCUUUUUAUCAUCUGAAGGAGCUAAGAGCAAAUACUAAUAUAAAUUGGGUUGGGUGAUUAAAUAAAUUAGUGAAACGAUAGAUGCUAUACUGGAAUAACAAUAAGAGCCAAGUUUGUCCUUUUUGAAUUUGUUAUCAUCUGAGGCGGAGGAAACAGAAGGUGGGAUAAAAAAUUUUCACAUUAAAUUAAAUUAUUUUUUUUAACUAAGCAACUAACUUUUAUUUACCUUGUAAUUGUUUUUUAACAUAAUUGGGUUUCACCUUUUUACUUUAUCAUCAAUUGCAUUUUUUGCUUGCUUGUUUCAAUGGAUUUGCUAUCAUUAGAUAAUCCUAUCACAACAAAAUCUUUUAAUUCAGCACUUACUUUUAAGUGUAAAGUUUGAUUUUUACUAUGAUUUGAUUAUCCUUAUCAUUAGAUCAUUUUAAUAUUUAAAAAUUCUCAAAUUUUGACACUAAUUUACUGGUCAAAUUUGUGAUUUAUAGUUUGUCAUGUCCAAUACAACUAGUUGCAGAGUUAGAAUUUAAAUUCAUAACCAUCUAGUUAUUUUAAUAGUUCAAACGUUCAAUCUUUGAAACUUUUGUAUUAUAUGAUUUAUGUUUAUGAUUAUUUUAUCUACAAUCUCAAUUCUAGUUUCUUGGUGUAUUAUGUUAAUUAUAUUUAUGAUUACUUAUCUACAAAUUUGAUAUCAAUUUGAAAGCCACUAUGUUACGUAUAAGAUUACUUAUCUAAUUUCUAAAUUAAAAUUAAAAUCUACCAGGUCAAUUAUGUCACGAUUCUGGUUUUUUGUAACACUGUGUUAAUUAUAUUUCUAAUUAUUCAUCUACAAUUUUGAUUCCAAUUAAAAAAAUCACUAUCUAUGAGGACUUAGUUAGAGGGAUCGCUGUUAGUAUAAACUUUUUAAUACCAUUUUCUAAACUUUCAAUUUUAUCCUUAGGGAAAAACUUUUAAUUUUUGCUCUAAUUGUUUAAUCACAUUUUGCCAAUAUAACUACCCUAAGUAUUGUAAUUACCAACUUACUAUAACCUUAUGAACCAAAAUUCUUCAAUAAAUUAUUGUGAAAAAUAAAAUUUUUAUAAAAUUAAUUCCUUUUAAUUAUUUAUGUAUAUAAUUACUCAUCUACGCGAACUAACAAUUAAAUUUAAUCCUUAAGAUUGUAGUACACAUAAAUACAUUUAUGGGCUUUUAACUUACCAAAAUUGCCCUUCAAAUUUUGUCCUUCGCCAAUUUGGCCUGAGAGCUGCUCCCUUAUGUAUAUAAUUACUCAUCUACGCGAACUAACAAUUAAAUUUAAUCCUUGAGAUUGGAGUACACAUAAAUACAUUUAUGGGCUUUUAACUUACCAAAAUUGCACUUCAAAUUUUGUCCUUCGCCAAUUUGGCCUGGGAGCUGCUCCCCAGCUAAUGCCAAUUAUUGGAUAAUCCGACAAACCCAAUUAAUCCAUUCAGAAUUAUCUUCUCCCAAGUCUCUUCUCUUCCUCCAUCCUUUUUUUUCAAAAUUUUCAUUUUGUCAUGAUCUUAACUAAUUUUGUUUCAUUAUUAUUAUUAUUAUUGUUGGUUUUAUUUUAUUAUUUUAUUUUCUCUUAGUUUGUUAACUUGCUCAUUUUUUAGCAUUACCAAUUUAUAAUAAGUUUUAGCCUCUUUUUAUAUUCUUAUUAUUCAAUUAUUAAAUAAUAUGUAAUUUUGUGACAUAGAGUAUAAAUGAAAAAAAAUUGGUAAUUAGGCUUAUUGAGCAUUAUAAGUAAAUAUUUAAAACUAAUGAUGGGUACAAAGAGUGGUAUAAAUUGAUAAUUUAGUUUGCAAAAAUGAAUUUAAAUGAGUUUAUAAAAAGUUAAAAUAAAUGGGUUAUAAAUGGAUAAUUGGGUUAUCCAUUUCAUUUUUCCCUUACCCAUUUAUACUCAUUUAAUUAAAUGGGUAUAAAUGAGUUGACUCACUUAUACCCAUUACCCAUUUUACCCAAUCCAAACCCACCCAAGUCAUCCAUUUUGACACCUCUAGAUGAAACCAGGAAAUCUUGAGUGAAUAAAUGACUUUCUUGCAUCAAAACCUGAGUUUUGUUAUUAGCUAUUACUGACAAGGUGUUUAACAUACCAGUCCAGUUUUCAGAGUUACUAUCCCGAGUUCAACAUGCCAUGUUGGUGCCAGCUGGGUUAUGGUUAUGAAAUUGGUUUCUUGUUAAUUAUUAUUACAAAAAAUAUUUAUAAUUGGAAAAGAUUCAAUUCUUGCAUACUGAAUAAUAAAUAUUUAUAGGAAAAAUCGUUUAAAAUGUCUUUCACAUUUCGUUAAAUGAAAUAGUAUUUUUCUUAAAGAAAAAAGAAAAAGUUGGUUAAAUUAUAUUAAAAAAGAAUUAAAAAGGAAAAAUGCAAUAAAGGAAAAAUGCUUUUGAACCAAUAAAUAGAAUUAAAAAAUUAAAUGACAAAAAUUGGAUAAAUUACUUUAAACAAAAUAGAAAAAAAGAACACUUUAAAAUGUCUUUAAAGACGUCAUUUUAAAAUAAUUGGGGAUGUUGCAUUGGGUCAGGGGAGGUUUUUGCAAUUAUCCCAAAAAACAAUGCAAUCCUCUGCAGAGUGUUUCUCUCACCAACAAGAUAAAUAAUAACCAAGACAGCUAAAAUAUUCUUCUCAUGCGCCAACCUUUCCCUUGAAGAGUGGAUAAGCCUGGUUUAAAUUCAACACGACGUGAGUUAAGAAAAAUUUAUGGCAAAGACCUACAAUUCAAACCGAAAGCCUGAAAUGACAUUUACCAGAAGAUCAAUGUCACAAAAUCACAAAGAAAAGUAUAGGGAUAAUUGCAGAAACCCCCCUGACUUUUAUAGUAAUAGCAUUGACCUCCCCUAUCAAUUUUGAAAUAGCACUGACCUCCCCUAUCAAAAGUUGGAGGCAAUUUAAUAGGCAAAAGUGGGUCAAUUUACUAAAGUACCCUUGACAUGAUUUAAUUUUACCAAAUGAAUGUGAUUAGUACUUUCAUCAAAUCCAACAAAACAUUUGUUAAUAAAAAUUACACUAAAUUAACUAUUUCUGCAUAGUUUAACUAAUUAACUAGAUAACUAAUAAUCUAAUUAAUUAAUAACUAAUUAUCUAAUUAACUAUUAACUAAUUAACUAAUUAUCUAAUUGUUAAUAGUUAUUAACUAAUCAAACUAUUUCUGCAUAAUUAAACUAAUUAACUAUUAACUAAUUAUCUAAUUAAUUAAUUAACUAAUUAACUAAUUUCUUUUUAUCUAAUUAACUAAUCUCUAUUUAUUUGAUUAACUAAUUAACAAAAUCUGUUGUCUGUCCGAAGCUAAUAAACUAUUUGCAUGUUAAACUAAUUAACUAAUUAGCUGCUUAACUAAUUAACUACCUAAUUAUCUAAUUAAUUAAUUAACUAAUUAACUAAUUUUUGUUUAUCUAAUUAACUAAUUAACUAAAGUUGUUGUCUAUCCGAAACUAACAAACUAUUUGCAUGUUAAACUAAUUAACUAAUUAACUGCUUAACUAAUUAACUAAAACUGUUGUUUGUCCGAAACUAACAAACUAUUUGCAUGUUAAACUAAUUAACUACUUAACUAAUUAACUAACUAAUUAUCUAAUUAACUAAUUAACUAAUUUCUGUUUAUCUAAUUAACUAAUUAACUAAUUAACUAAAACUGUUGUCUAUCCGAAACUAACAAACUAUUUACAUGUUAAACUAAUUAACUAACUAAUUAUCUAAUUAAUUAAUUAACUAAUUAACUAUUUUCUAUUUAUCUAAUUAACUAAUUAACUAAAGCUAUUGUCUGUUCGAAACUAACAAACUAUUUACAUGUUAAACUAAUUAACUAAUUAACUGCUUAACUAAUUAACUAAUUAAUUAACUAACUAUUUGCAUGUUAAACUAUAUGCAGUACGCAUUACCUAUUUAAAGUAUCGGCUCUUUAUAGCUAUUUUACUUUCAAACAUUUAAUUUAUAAUAAAAACAUCAAUGUUUGUAAGUAAAAUUCAACAAGUGUUACAAAAAAUAUCAAUAUUCUUACUUUCAAACAUUUAAUUUAUGGCCCUAUGCCCCUCCAUUUUUGUAAGAAUAUUACUGUAACACUUGUUGAAUUUUACUUACAAACAUUGAUGUUUUUAUCAUAAAUUAAAUGUUUGAAAGUAAAAUACCGAUAAAGAGCCGAUACUUUAAAUAGGUAAUGCGUACUGCAUAUAGUUUAACAUGCAAAUAGUUUGUUAAUUAAUUAGUUAAUUAGUUAAGCAGUUAAUUAGUUAAUUAGUUUAACAUGCAAAUAGUUUGUUAGUUUCUGAUAGACAAUAGCUUUAGUUAAUUAGAUAAAUAGAAAUUAGUUAAUUAGUUAAUUAGUUAAUAAUUAAUCAGAUAAUUAGUUAAUUGUUAAUUAGUUUAACUAUUAACUAAUUAGAUAAUUAGUUAAUUGUUAAUUAGUUUAACUAUUAACUAAUUAGAUAAUUAGUUAAGCAAUUGUCAAGCAAAUAAUAAUUGUCAAGCAAGAAGAAGGCAAAAUUGGAAGAAAUUUCUUAUCUCACUUCUACAAAAGCUGUCAAGGAGGUUUCUGCAACAAAUUGUUACUGUUCAGGGGAGGUGAAUGCAAUUUCUAAACCUAGAGGGGAGGUCAGUGCAAAUCUCAGAAAUCUUAGGGAAGGUUUCUGCAAUUAUCCCAAAAGUAUAAUCUUUUUCUUUCUCAAGUCGAAUGAUAGGAGCAAAGCUAGUCAACAUUCAAAAGAUGCCUUAAAAAAAAUUUAAAAAACAGCAAAUGUCUACACACAAAGGAAAACUUUUCUUUCCCACAUCAUUUGCCCUCUCUGGAAUUUUCCCCCUUUUUGGCUUUAGUUUUCUUAUGAUUAUGAGCACAGCUAAAAAUACUCAGCUACAGUGACAACAUAAUUUUUAAUGUAAUAACCCGUAAUAAUUCACUAUUAUUACAAAAUCAUUGAAACUAGACUACAACCGCCAACUGCUGUAUCUCAAGCUAUAAUUUUUUAAAAUAAAUGAAAAAACAGCUAAGCACAGAAUAAUUCCCAAUCAUUCGUACCAUAUUAUGUAAAAAGAAAGAAGCAAUUAAAAAAUUUGAACUUUACGAGAAUUACUACCAACCCAGAAAUAAAAACUCCUCAAAUGAAGAAUACCGCAUCUGCCACCAAAGAUUCACAAGGACUUGUGAAGCUUAAAAAAAUAAACAAGAAAUGCAAUCCAGCAUUAAAGGACUAAAAAACAAUUUUUUUAGAUAACUAAGCACAUAUUUACAUGAAUGAUGGUGCUGUUGUAAACAAACACAAUGGGCUUACGAAUUUAUUAUUGAUUCUGUUGGGCUUCUGCUGGGGAAAUGAGUGAAGGUAGAGAGUGUGAAUUGUCAGUGUGUAGAAAAUAGAAAUGUGAAUAUAAGAACCCUAAUUUGACGGAGAGGGCGUGAUUAUUUAAGCGUCCUUGUUGCCCUCAAAUUUGGCUUGAUUUCUGGUUGUGUCCCCGUAUAUUUACAGUGCCCUUGUAGGAUUUCCAUAUUCUAGAAUGAGAUGAUAGUCCCUGAAAAUGUGAAUGAGACUGACAUCUUCCCAAUUUCUCUUCUUAAGAUGAGAAGCUCACUGGAAAUAGGAUGUGAAACUUCUACACAAGAAGGAAGGAUUAUAUUCAUUUCAUUUGCUGCAUUUAGUGCUACAAGUGCCAAGGGGCACUGCUUCACCAGAAAUCAUCCUUCAAUGUUUAUUUUUUUGUAGCUAUCUUCAAACCAUGAAGCUUUCUGUUGUUUUCAAAUCCUUGCGUAGCUAUCCCGCUCUUCGUGUGGUUACUGGCUCUCUACAGUCUCGUGCAUUUCAGCCUGAUUUCAUUCCCAGGGAUCCCAAAUCAAAGCCCGUAAGACACAAGUAUCCAGCUUUCUAUGAUCCUUAUGGCGCUAGACCCCCAUCUUCAGAUAAGAUCAUUCGGCUUGUAGAGCAGAUUGCAGCCCUGUCUCCGAAAGAGCGUAAUUUUAUUGGUCCCACGCUUAGAGACAGACUAAGGCAUCCUAUGAUUCCACCAGUUUUAGUGGAGGGCAUGGACUUGAGUCCUUAUGGAGGGUCUGGUGCUGGGUCUUCAAAGGCUGAGAAGAAAAAUGUCGAAAAAACUGCAUUUGAUGUCAAGUUAGUAAAGUUCGAUGCUGCUGCAAAAAUUAAGGUGAUCAAAGAGGUUCGUGCUUUCACAAAUUUGGGGUUGAAGGAAGCCAAAGAUUUAGCUGAGAAAGUACCAGUUUUAAUUAAGCAAGGUAUCACUAAAGAAGAGGCAAAUGAUAUUAUAGAGAAGAUUAAGGCUGUAGGGGGAGUUGCUGUUAUGGAGUAGAUUUUCACCGAGUUUUGUAUGCUUUCUUUGAACUGUUAUCAAAGUUCUAUUGCCAGUUUUUUGCUCUGAUAGACAAACAAUUGUCAUUCUGAAGAUGUUGUUCUUGCAUAUUCAAAAGAAUGAAACUUUCCUUGCUAGGUAGAGGAGGACCAUUAUGUUUUCCUUCAAAUUUGGUUUUCAUACUUGAUAUUUUGUGCUGACCCUUAAUGGGAUUUUGGGAUACGAAUGGGCCACCAGGGAAGUUGGCUUAACAGAUGUCUGGUUUGUGUAAAAUUGCUGGUGUAUGAUAUUGGAAUUAUUGCUGAUUUAGCUGUGAUUGCAACUUACAGGUAGUCUGUUUGGUUCAGCAUUUUAACAUGGCGGCUGACUUUUCAGUGGCCGCAAAUGGCCUCUGUCCAUUUUUGAGAUGUCCAAACAGUUACAUAUCAGGCUUUUGCCAGGUAUGAAAAUUUUGGAAUUGAAUUAUGAACUCUCAGCAUGCGAUUUUCACUUAACUGAUCCCCAGCAAUUAACAGACCCACACUCUAGUAGAUAACAUAUUUAGCCACUUCAUGCAAUAUUUGAGAAUUUUUCUUGCGCAAAUAUGAGAUGUGUAACCUUCAUUGUUGUAGUCGAAUAGCAUUCCUAAUUGACCAAUUGUUACAGGUCAAUCAGUUGAUCUUAACCUGAAAGCAGUAGUAGAGUAAAUAAACAUGAUUGUGGUCCAAGUCUUCAGUUCUUUGGCCAGAUGAUAGUUAAUAUACGAUUAUGGUCUUGAUUGUUCAAUUCUUUGGAUGGAUGGAUGGAACUUUAGGGAAAUUGUUCAUUUAAUAAAUAUGUUUGGUCUUGAUUCUUCUAGAAAAGAAAGGUAAAUCCUUAAAGGCGAAGGCAAGCUCUUCAAGUGUUGAACCUUGAACAUGCAUGUUACCUUUUUUGCUUUUGGGUGAUGACAGUAGAUAACAUUUCCAUGUGGAGCAUGACCGAGAAAGACAAAGGUCUAGAGAGUGGAUGACUGUGUUCAUUGAUUGAUUUUCCAUUUCCCAAGUUAUUGCAUUAGUUGAUCUUCCAACUUGGUUAAGGUAGUGGUUGAUGACGAAUGAGUUGAGGCUUUCCAAAAAGGAUUUGCAAACGUGGAUUCAUAAUGUGUCAAUUGCGUCCCCAUGUUCCAACUCUUAUCCCUCUUGUGAAAAGCAAAGAUUUUUCAACUUUUUUUUUUGACGUGAAAGAACUGAUGGUGAAGAAAAUUAAACAUGCGCAAUGACUUUGUUUUAACUCCUCUUUCAUCACAAAAUCCUUAAUUAACACGGCUUUUAGCAUAAAACUUGGCUGCUACUACUUUUCCUCUUACCUUGCCACACAAAAUAAGCAAAAAAUUGACAAAUACCUCCUGCGUGCCCUCAUAAGUAUUAUUUGGCUUGUAUUCUCCCAAGAUAUAGGUGCCUAUCAAACUAUAAUGCGACGCAAGAAAAAUAAGAAGUAAAUAACAAAAGAAAUGUGAAAAUAAAAGCCAUAAAAUCAAACUAGUAUAGCUUACCUCUAUGCAUAAGCCCUUUUUUUGUUCAAAUUACUCAACAGGAGUGUGCAUCGAAAUCAAAUUCGGCAAUUUGGAAUUUUAAAUUUGAAUUUUUUUGAAAUUUGGACAUUAGAAAAUUCGAUCGAUUUCAAAUUCGAUUUCACAAAUUCCGAAUUCAAUUUGAAAGUCGGUAAUAACCGAUUUCACCUAAUUUUGUAAUUAUAUGUAAGUUUUGCUAAACUAAAUGCCCACUUUUGUAUAACAUAAGUUUAUAGUUAUAACGUAAUAUACAACUAACUUAAUAAGACUUAUUAUUGUAUUGUUUUAUAAUACUAUUAUAAUUAGAUUUAUUAUUAUAUAAUAUAAAUUUUUAUAUUACAUAUAUAUUAAUAUAUAUAACACAUACGAAUUUGAAAUUGAAUAUCAAAUUAGGUAUUCGAUUCCGAUUUCGCAUUACGAAUUCGAAAUCCAAAAGUUCAUUUUGAGAAAACGUAUUCUCAAAUUCAAACCAAAUUCGUAUAUUUUGAAAAUAAAAAAAUUUGAUUUCCUUUUCACUUUUCGCUUUACCGAUUUCGAGAAUUCCAAAAUUCGAAUCGAAUUCGAUUGAAAAAUCGAUUUUUUUUAAGUUACAUGCUCCUAUAACUCAGAAUGAAUCACUUAUUAUAUAUUUAUACUCCACCUACGAAAGGACAUAAGAAUUUAUAACUCUCUUGUAGUAUAAAGCUAAGUUAAAAUAUCUAGCUCAAGAAAAAAAGAAAAAUACACACUUACACUUUUCAUAUUUUUUUUCCGUCAUUUCCCUAGAAACAAAACAAGCACCUUUAAUGUAGUAAUAAUAAUUUAAAAAAAAAUGUUCGGGGGCCAUUACAAAGGGCACAGUAAAUAUAUGGGGACACAACCAAAAAUCAAGCCAAAUUUGAGAGCAACAAAGACGCUUAAAUAAUCGCGCUCUCCCCGUCAAAUUAGGGUUCUUAUAUUCACAUUUCUAUUUUCUACACGCUGACAAUUCACACUCUCUACCUUCACUCCUUUCCCCAACAGAAUCAAUAAUAAAGUCGUAAGCCCAUUGUGUUUGUUUACAUCAGCACCAUCAUUCAUGUAAAUAUGUGCUUAGUUAUCUAAAAAAAUUGGUUUUUAGCCCUUAAAUGCUGGAUUGCAAUUCUUGUUUAUUUUCUUAAGCUUCACAAGUCCUCGUGAAUCUUUGGUGGCAGAUGCUGUAUUCUUCAUUAGAGGAGUUUUUAUUUCUGGGUUGGUAGUAAUGCUCGUAAGUUUCAAAUUUUUUAAUUGCUUCUUUCUUUUUACAUAAUAUGGUAUGAAUGAUUGGGAAUUAUUCUGUGCUUAGCUAUUUUUUUCAUUUAUUUUAAAAAAUUAUAGCUUGAGAUAUAGCAGUUGGCGGUUGUAGUCCAGUUUCAAUGAUUUUGUAAUAAUAGUGAAUUAUUACUGGUUAUUACAUUAAAAAUUAUGUUGUCUCUGUAUUUUUUAAAUUAUCCCCAAAAAAAAACAAUAAAAGAAGGCGAUUGGGAAAGCCAUAAAGGAGCCAGACACUGGUAAAGUAAUUUACGGGGCCAAAGAGUAAAAUCAAUAAAAAAAAAGACAUUAUUGGAAAACGGGCACUUAAAUAUCCGUCAGGGUUCUUAUUCGCGUUUGCACAUGCAGAUGCUUCUCACUGUCCUUCUCUGUAUUUGUUUAUUCAACCCACAAAAUCAACAAAAAAUUGGUAAGUUCAUUUGUUUGUUUAUUUAGCUGUGAAGGAUUUUUUCCCCCUGUUAAAUGGAUGAUUUAUUUAUGUUUUAAUUUCUUGAUCUUGAUUGUAGCUUGUGAACCUUUCGUUGCUAAUGCCAUAUUGUGUCUCUCAGGAGUUCUUUAUUUCUUGGUGGUUAGCUUUUCUCCAUAAAGUUUAUAUUUUGUUAUAACAAUUUGUUUCUGGUGAUUGGAUUUUAUUUUGUGCUUAGACCUAUUGAAGUUCGAUGAAAUUGUUAGUUCUGGAGCCUGAGUUAUUUAUUUUAUUUUAUUUUAUUUUUCGGCUGGAACUGGUCUGAAACUCGAAUGAAGAUGGAUGUAAAAUUUGUUCCCUAAGAUGGCUGUUAAGGUUUCUUUUGCAUAUGAGUCAACUAUAAAUGAAAAUAAUCCGAAAGUACUUCCACUUGUUCCUUAAGCCCUCGAAUGCCUUUCCUAGUUUUUCUUUCUCCUUUGAUCUAUUGAGACAUUGGAUAGUUUGGAUUUUGAACAAGAAAAUCUUGCAAGGGUACUCAAUAUUGAAUCGAUUGGUAUAUUUUGCACAUUAUCUUUUCAUAAGGGUUAGGUUCAUUCCAUAAGUCGACCACUCUCUUUAAAGAUUGUUCCUUUGUAAUAUUUGAUUGCAAGUAAGAAUGCAGCCUAAUACCAAACUUAAUCCAAAAAAACGUUGCUUAGUAUUUAAUUUGUUGUAUGCCUAGUCUGCCAUGCUCUGGGUAUAUGCAUGGAAGUCAAUUCCUAGAAUGCUACCAUUUACCAAAACAGUCUUGCGUGGUCUUCUUUCCCAAAGCACAUUCAUGCAAAAAAUAUUUAUCAAGCAUGGUAGCCAAUGGCUUCACAUUGGUGGACUGAAAAUUUAUGAGUUGUAAACGGCUUGCAAUACUGGAUGUCAUAUUGUUGAUUAGUCUUCUUAUUCCAGUAGUAUUUCCAUAUUCCAGAAUGAGAUGAUAGUCCUUGAAAAUAUAAAUGAGACUAACAUCUUCCCCAUUGCUCUUCUUAAGGUGAGAAGCUCACUGGAAAUAGGAUGUGAAGCAUCUACACAGGAAGGAAGGAUUACAUUCAUUUGCUGCAUUUAGUGCUACAAGUGCCAAAGGGCACUGCUUCACCAGAAAUCAUCCUUCAGUGUUUAUUUUUUUGUUGCUAUCUUCAAACCAUGAAGCUUUCUGUAGUUUUCAAAUCCUUGCGUAGCUAUCCCGCUCUUCGUGUGGUUACUGUCUCUCUACAGUCUCGUGCAUUUCAGCCUGAUUUCAUUCCCAGGGAUCCCAAAUCAAAGCCCGUAAGACACAAGUAUCCAGCUUUCUAUGAUCCUUAUGGCCCUAGACCCCCACCUUCAGAUAAGAUCAUUUGGCUUGCAGAGCAGAUUGCAGCCCUGUCUCCGAAAGAGCGUAAUUUUAUUGGUCCCACGCUUAGAGACAGACUAAGGCAUCCUAAGAUUCAACCAGUUUUAGUGGAGGGCAUGGACUUGGGUCCUGAUGGAGGGUCUGGUGCUGGGUCUUCAAAGGCUGAGAAGAAAAAGGUCGAAAAAAUUGCAUUUGAUGUCAAGUUAGUAAAGUUUGAUGCUGUUGCAAAAAUUAAGGUGAUCAAAGAGGUUCGUGCUUCCACAAAUUUGGGGUUGAAGGAAGCCAAAGAUUUAGUUGAGAAAGUACCAGUUUUAAUUAAGCAAGGUAUCACUAAAGAAGAGGCAAAUGAUAUUAUAGAGAAGAUCAAGGCUGUAGGGGGAGUUGCUGUUAUGGAGUAGAUUUUCAUCGAGUUUUGUAUGCUUUCUUUGAACUGUUAUCAAAGUUCUAUUGCCAAUUUUUCGCUCUGAUAGAGAAACAACUGUCAUUCUGAAGAUAUUGUUCUUGCUGUUAAUCGUCAAAAGAUACGAAUUGCAAACAAACGGAUGUUACUAAUAAUCUUUGAAGAGAAUCCUUUCAGAAAUGGCACCAAACAGGUCUGAGGUCUUAGAGCAAAAUGAAGAUAAAAAAGGUGAAAAGCACUGAGGAAGAUGUCGGACGCACAAAAGGAGAGUAUCAGACGUCCGACAUCCAUUGAGUAUCUUCGGACGAAUGAAGAACUCAGACUUGGACGUCCGAAGAAGGCAAUCCAGGGCUUCUACAACUACUGAUCAGGAUCGGACGCUCAACACCUGAGCAUCGGACUUCCGACAAGCAUUGCUGCUCUUCGGACGCAACAUCUUGGAUGUAUCGGCCGUCCGAAAGAAUUAAAGAGGAACCUCCAAGUUUGCAUCUUACCCUCGGACGCAUGGCGAGAAGGGAUCGGACGUCCUAAGUGGGUCAAGAAAAUUUCUCGAACUCACUGACCUCGCUCGGACGCAUAAAAACUGACUACCGGACGUCCGACAGCACCAAUGGCUAGUUGACUCUUCAGAUGCCUUCUACCCAUUGACAGCAUUAAUUGAAGAAUUUUCUGAUCUCCUAUAAAAAGAACAAAGUCAACCACCUCAGAAGAACUUUACACAUUAAGUUUACAUCAGAUCUUGAGUGAUUCAAGUGUGUGAAUACUCCAAAAAGAAGAUUUGUACUCUUAGUUGUGUAAUCUUCUUUUAACUUUUCAAGUGUGAUCUAAUUUCAUCAAUAGUGUAACUUUGUGAGGGUUAUCCGUGUGAUUGUAAAACUUCUUUGCUUGUUCGAGUGAGACUUGAGGCAAGAAGGAAAUGAUCUUUCGUUUGUACACAAGAGAUUGGUUGAAAGUUGAUCUACUGUGAAAUAGCUUGAUACACAUACAAAGUGUUGUUCAAACUUAGUCAAGUUUGAAAUUUGGUUUGCAAAUUCCAUCCUCUCAUUUAUUGUCUUGAUAUAAAUUGCUUACUUGUUCUACUUACAAACUAUUUGUACUAAUCCAUCAACUGGUUUUCAGUAAGGUUCCUUUGAAAAAGAAAUCCAGGUCAAAGAAAAGGAGGAAAGGUGUCUCAUAUCUUGGCCUGAUUUUUAGUUAACCUAAUUCAUCCCCCUCUUAGGUUGUCUUCGAUCCUUACAAUUGGUAUCAGAAUUUGGUCUCCUUGAGGCUAAGCUCAAUCGGCUUGGGAGUAAAAAAUGACAACCAACAAUGCCAUAUUCUUUGAGGGUCAAACUAUGUGAGCUGGAAGGAGAGGAUGAUCAUCUUCUUACAAUCUAUUGAUAUUGAGCUAUGGUUUAUUGUCAAUGAAGGACCGUUUGAUGCUUCUACUAUUGAUGCAGAGACGAACAUGCCGAGAUCAAAAACAAGAAGGAAACUAACUGCUGAAGACAGAACUCAUCUUACUCUAAAUGCCAAGGCGAUGAACGUUCUGUACAGUGCUUUAGACUCAAACGAAUCUGUUAGAGUCAAGGGCUGCAAAUCUGUAAAAGAAAUCUGGGAUAAAUUUUGAGAAAUACACGACAGAAGUGAAAAUGUGAGAGAACAGAAGAAGUCCAUUCUGGUCACGAAGUAUGAAUCCUUCAAAAUGGAACCUCACGAAAACAUCAACAAGAUGUAUUGCAGAUUCAAUGAUCUUAUUAAAGAUUUAGAAGUUCUUGAGAAAGAUUACUCUCUAGGUGAGAAAAACAGAAAAAUUCUGAAUACUCUGUCAAAGGAUUGGGAGAGUAAAGUGACUGCCAUUGAGGAAGCCAAAGAUCUGAACACUCUAUCUAUUGAAUCCCUUAUAAAUUCAUUAACCUCUUAUGAGUUAAAACUCAAGUCUAAGGUGUAGGAAGAAGAAGACACAAAAGUUAGAAAAAGCAUAGCUCUGAAGACCUCACAAGAAGAAGAUGAUACAAUCUCACUUGAUGAAGAUGACAUGGAAGGUGAUGACAGUGACAUUGCACUCAUCACACGAGACUUCAAAAGAAUAUUCAACAAGAGAAGAUUCAGAAAAGGAGGACAUAGCAAAUCCUUUCCAAAUCAGACCAACAGUUUCAGAAAUAAAGGAAAGCUGGAAUUCAACAAAAAGUAAACUGACAAGUGUUUUGAAUGUGGCCAACCUGGACACUAUGCAAAUGAGUGUCCAAUGAAGAAAAAGAAGAAGAACAAGGUUGAACGAAAAACCAAAGUUCAACAAUUUCCAAAUCACCUGGAAUGAUUGCAACUCAGAAGGUGAAGUUGAGGAAAAAGAAGAAUCUGCUCAAGUGGCUUUCAUGGCCAUUGGAGAUGAAGAGGUAACUCAAUGCAACUCUCAAACUGAUAGUGAUAGUGAUUCUGAUGAAGAUGCUAAUUCUUUUCUAGAAAAAAUGCACAACAGUUUAAAAAAAUCAUAUGUUAGAAACAAGAAACUAAAACAGAAAGUUAGCUUUCUAUUACAAGAUAAUGCAAAUUUUUUUCAACAAAACAAGGGUCUUAAGCAUGAAAAUGAGAACCUGAAAAGGAUUGAAACUGAUGUGCUUGCUGAACUUGACAAAAGGACAAGAUUCUGUAACAUACUCAGAAGUGAACAAUGCAGUCUAAAUAGGAGGAUGGAUGAUUUAUGUCAAUUGUUGCAACAAAUAAAACAGACCUGCCUUCAAAAAACAACACUGAACCUCAUCUUAACACUCAUCAGACAAGAUUGAAUUAUAGUAAAAAUGAGUUUAAUAUCUACAGGAGAAGGCAAGUCAAAUUUAUUAAACCUGUUCAUUUGAUUGAUCUAAUAACUGUAUGCAAUUUUUGUUGUCAAUUUGGUCACAUGAGUAGCAACUGCUAUGUUAAGAAAAAUAUGAGAAAUGGAAUGAGAUGCAUGUGGAUUGUUAGACAUAAUACUAACCAUGAAGGACCCAAAAAGUAAUGGGUUCCAAACAUUAUAUUGUGGACUUCUGUGUAGGUAAAACUGGUGAACAUUGUUAAAGAAUCAAAAUGAUUCAUAGAUAGUGGUUGCUCAAGACAUAUGACUGGUGAUGCAUCCCAGUUCAUCAAGCUCAAGCCAAAAAUAAGUGGAUAGGUUACCUUUGGAGACGAUAAUAAAGCCAAAACUAUUGGAGUUGGUGAUGUUGGUAAGAAUGGCCAGACUUUUGUUCAUAAUGUUCUUUUAGUUGAUAACCUGGGCUACAAUUUGCUAAGUGUUAGCCAACUAUGUGAUAGGAAUCUGCUUGUAUUAUUUAACAUGAAUGCCUUGUUCUUGACUCAAAGUUUAACAUUGUUUUCAAGGGAAAAAGAGUUAAUGAUAUUUAUGUGGUAUUUCUUGAAAAAGUUGAUGCUUCCAGCCUUAAUUGUCUCAAAGUUGCAAAUGAGGAUCCCUGGUUGUGGCACAGAAGGCUUUGUCACUUCAAUAUGGAUUUGCUGAAAGAGAUUUCCAAAAAGGACCUGAUUAGAGGCUAUCAAAACUCAAUUUUUGUAAAGAUCGCAUCUGUGAUGCUUGCCAAUUUGAAAAACAAGUUAAGGUAUCUUUUAAACCAAAAAAAUGUAUUUCUACCUCUAAGCCCUUAGAACUUCUUCAUCUUGAUCUUUUUGGCCCAACUCAAACCUCAAGCCUUGGUGGGAAGAGAUUCUGUUUUGUUGUUGUUGAUGACUAUUCUAGAUACACUUGGGUGAUGUUUCUUGCACAUAAAGAUGAUACUUUCAAAAACUUUGUUUCCCUGUUUGCCAAGGUUCAAAAUCUGAUUGGUUUAAAAAUCAUAAAAAUAAGAAGUGACAAUGGCACAGAAUUUUGUUUUUGUGAUUUUCCUGAAUUUUGUGACAACAACGGUAUUACACAUGAAUUUUCUAUUGCAAGAGUACCUCAGCAAAAUGGAGUGGUUGAGAGGAAAAAUAGAACUCUUCAAGAAGCUGCUAGAACCAUGUUCAGUGAAUGCAAUUUGCCAAAGUACUUUUGGGCUGAAACCAUAAACACAGCAUGUUAUACCAUGAACAGAGUUCUCUUAAGACCAAUUUUGAACAAAACUUCCUAUGAGCUCAUGUUUGACAAAUAGCCUGUUGUUGGUUACUUUAAAGUCUUUGGUUGUAAAUGUUUUAUCUUGAACAUCAAGGAAUAUCUUGGAAAGUUUGACAAGAAAUCUGAUGAGGGAAUUUUCUUGGGAUAUUGUGAAAACAAGAGAGACUUUAGAGUUUAUAAUCGUAGAACUCUGGUUAUAGAAGAAGCCAUACAUAUCACUUUUGAUGAAUCUAAUGGUGAUACUUCCAUGAGUUGCGGUGAAGAUGAUGAUACAGGUGUUCGAGAUGAACUAAAGAAGUUGACGAUCAGCAAUCAAGGCACAGCCCCAUCAGAAAAUGAUUCAAAGGAUGAUGAAAAUCAAGACACCUGCUAGAGAAGACAAUGACAGUGACACUGGAAUUCCUAGUGAUCUUCCAAGAGCCUGGAAAUUCGUCCAAAAUCACCCCAAGGAACUUAUCAUUGGGGAUCCAUCUGAAAAGGUCAGAACACGUUUCUUUUCAAGACAAUUAAUAGAUAACUUUGCAUUGGUCUCACAUUUUGAGCCCAAAAAUGUUGUUGAUGCAUUAAAAGAUGAGAACUGAAUUUUAGCCAUGGAAGAGGAGUUAAAUCAAUUUGAAAGAAACAAGAUCUGGACAAUAGUUGCUAGACCACAAAAUCACUCCAUUAUUGGCACUAAGUGGGUUUUUAGAAACAAAAUGAAUGACAAAGCUGAGGUAGUUAGAAAUAAGGCCAGAUUGGUAGCCAAUGGAUACACUCAAGAAGAAGAAAUAGAUUUUGAUGAAUCUUUUACACCCGUAACUAGGCUAGAAUCUAUUAGAAUGUUUUUAGCUUUUGCAUGUUUCAAGAACUUUAAGUUAUUUCAAAUGGAUGUUAAAAGUGUCUUCUUAAAUGAUUUUAUUGAUCAAGAAAUUUAUGUUGAUCAACCUCCUGGUUUUGAAAAUGAAAAUUAUCCAAAUUAUGUUUUCAAACUCUCAAAAGCCCUAUAUGGCAUAAAACAAGCUCCAAGAGCAUGGUAUGAACGUUUGAGUGGUUUUUUGAUUGAAAAUGGUUUCAAAAAAGGUAUAGUGGAUACUACCCUUUUCACUAAACAAAGUUUGCAUGAUUUUCUAAUUAUUCAAAUUUAUGUUGAUGAUAUCAUAUUUGGUGCUACUAAUGAGAGAUUGUGCAAGGAUUUCUCCAAGAUCAUGCAAAAAGAGUUUGAAAUGAGCAUGAUGGGAGAACUGAGUUUCUUCUUUGAACUCCAAGUGACACAAACCCAAGAAGGAACAUUCAUCAAUCAAACCAAAUACACCAAGAAACUGCUGAAAAGAUUUGGUAUGAAGGACUCAAAGCAAGUUGGAACACCCAUGUGCACAUCUGUCAAGCUUGACAAAGAUGAAGAAGGUACAAAAGUUGAUGAAAAGAAGUAUAGAGGUAUGAUUGGUAGCCUGCUUUAUUUAACUGCGAGUAGACCUGAUAUCAUGUUUGCUGUGUGCUUGUGUGCUCACUUUCAAUCUUGUCCAAAGGAAUCACAUUUAACUGCUGUAAAAUGAAUCUUUAGAUACUUAAAAGGAACUGUGAAUUUUGGCCUUUGGUAUGCUAAAUGUUAUGAACUUCCCUUGUAUGGAUUCUCUGAUGCUGAUUUUGGUGGCUGUAGAGUAGAUAGAAAAAGUACAACUGGUAUAUGUAAUUUUCUUGGAAAUUGCUUAGUGUCCUGGUUCAGUAAGAAACAGAAUGCCAUUUCAUUAUCUACCACCGAAGCAGAAUAUGUUGCUGCUAGUGCCUAUUGUGCUCAAUUAUUGUGGAUGAAAAACACAUUGAAUGAUUUCGGUUUAAUAUAUAAUUCUGUACCUAUGUUUUGUGACAACACUAGUGCCAUCAAUUUGACAAAAAAUCCCAUUCAACAUUCUAGGACAAAUCAUAUAGAUAUUAAGCAUCACUUCAUUCGUGAUCUUGUCCACAAGGGUGAAAUUUGUAUUCAAUACAUCUGUUCCAAAGAUCAAAUUGCUGAUAUUCUCACAAAAACCCUUCCACUGGAUCAUUUUGUAUAUCUGAGAACAAAACUGGGCAUCUCAGAAAAAAUCCUCUAAGUUUCUAUUUGGUCACUUCUUAUCGGACGUCCGAUACAUUUAGGGCUGUCAACGGGUCGGGUCCGGGCCGAAAUUCAUUAUUUCAGACCCGGACCCGAAUUACUAUACCGGAUCCGGAUCCGGAUCCGACCCGUUUAUCCGACGGGUCUUUUAUUCUAUGUUCCGGAUCCAGAUCCGGCGGGUCUCGGAUCCGGGUCGGGUCUACCCGAACAAAUUUAGCAAAAUUUAUAAUUUCUAAUAAAAAUGAGAAAAAAAUAUAUUUGCAAACUAAUUUCUAACUAAUGCAAAGAAAAAACCAAAUAAGAAAAGAAAUCAAAUUGACUUUACUUAAAUACAUCAUCCUAAUCAAAUUAUAUUAAUGAAUAUAUAUUUUUUAAAUUAUUAAUUCAUUUAUAUCCGGAUCCGGGUCUAAUACGGGUCGAAAUACUAUAUUCCGUAUCCGACUCGUUUUUUUUGUUUGACAAAACGGAUCCGGAUCAGGAUCCGGGUAACGGAAUUAAAUCCCUACCCAUACCAGCAAUAAUUUUACGAAUCCGGUCUGGAUCCGGGUCUAGACCCGACCCAUUGACAGGCCUAGAUACAUUCAAAACGGACGUCCGACAAUGUUCUUCACUCUCUUCUGGAAAGACACUGGUUCGGACGGUUGUGUCGGACGCUUCACUUCAUUCGGACGUCCGACACUCAAAAAUUGAGCCUUAUAAGGCAGUUACCCACCUCACUCAGUUCAUUUUCCUCCACGGUCUCGGACGCAACCCUUCACUCUCCUCUCAAAUUUAAAAUUCAAAUUCCUCUCUCCUCAAAUCAAGUUCCAAGAAAUUGACUCAACCAACGGCCUUACAACUCUGUUGCCCGUUAACCACCCAUAAAAAUCACUCCUAACCCCCAACUACCCCAUUGUUCCCAAUUCACAUCCGAAACCCUAACUUCUUAUAACUCUCUCCUUGUGAUAUUUCAGUGCAUUCUCACUUUUUGUUCAUACUGCAUUCUUCCUCUGAACCACACAUUCUGCAUCAAAAAUACAUCCACAUUGCAUCAUGGUUAGAAUCAGAGGAGGAUCUACUAGUGCCGAACGGUCCUUUAGACUUAGAGAUGAGGACAUUGAAAUUGUGAAACCGUCUACCAAACUACCUAAAAGGAAGAUUGUGACCCAAGGUGGUAAAGUGAGGCAAACUGCCCAAAGAAAGAGGGUUACUCCAACUGCUGAAUCAUCUGAUGAGCAGAUAGAAGAGCAGAACUCUGAUGAAAUCACAGUUGGUGGAAAUGAGGAACCAGAACAAGCUACCCAGAAUGUUGAAUCUAUCUCAAGGCCAUCUGGUAAAAGAAAAAGAACAGCAAAGAAGAAGAGCACUCUCCAAUCCAAGAAAAAGCAAUCUGCUGAUCCCUCUGAUGAUCAGCAGAAUGAGGGAAACAUUGCUGAGACUCAGCAAACACCUGAACCCUCCACCAGGAAAUCUCCAAGGACAAGGACUGAGGCUUAAAAUGUUGGGUCAUCUGGCACAUAAACCUCAAAUACGAAACGUUCUGGGAAGGUUCCUGUUUCUCAGCCCAUAGAAGAACCCACUCCUCUCCCCAAAUUCAUUGAUGAUGAAGCCAGAGACAGAUUUGAGUUAGUCUCUCAAAAAGGAUUCAUCACCCAAAGGCUCAUCCUUCCCUAUGAAUUUCGUAAACUUGAUCUUGAACCUGUUAUUAAACUGUUUGAAAUCCAAAAAUGGACUCACCUUCUGACCAUUCCUAAUGUCUUUUACCCUGACAUGCUUUAUCAAUUCUUUGUUAAUCAUAGAAAGGGUAAAUCACACACUGAACUCAUCUCUAGGGUCAACUCUAUAGACAUUACGUUAACUCCUGACAUUGUGAAUUCCAUUCUGAAAACUAGUAUUGAAUCUGGUUUCAAAGGAAAAAUUGCAAAUUUUUUUUCGUAUGAGGAGUUUCCUUCUGCCUACCAUCAUUUUUACAAUGCUAAACUCAUGACCUAUUUUCAAACCCACUUCAAUACUCCUGCUGAGGCAAGAUUAGAUGAUCUCAGUCCUCAGAAUCUAAUCAUUUUCACCAUCAUUUUGAAUCUGUUGGUGCCAACUGAUGGCCACAGAACAGAUGCAAACAAAAAGGAACUUUAUCUUUUCUAUUGCUUUGUUGAAAAAAUUCGCAUUGAUUUUGGAUUUGUAAUGUGCAAGUUUCUGCUCAAAAUUAGCACUGACAGUCGUAGGAAGCUCUCUUAUGGCAGAUUUCUGACCCCUAUCUUUACCCAUUUUGAAAUAGCUUUUUCUGGAAAAUCUCCCAAAGACAGUGCUUCAUCAGUUUUCUCAAAAGUUUAUUUUGAAAGAAAGAACUUAAAAUUUUUUGAAGGCCAUUGGUGCUGUAAGGAGACUGUGGCUGAGUCUAGAAGGAAAAACUUCCAUGAAACCCCUGUCACUCCUAAGACUCCUCGUGAUCAGUCAAGCUAUGUCUCUCCUUUCACCAUUCAUCCUAGAAAGUCUGCCAGCAAGUCCUUCGCAUCCAAUUCUGAAAUCAUCUCCUUGCUUGAAGACCUAAAACAGCAUGUUAUGCUUAUUGAAGAUGGUCUCAUGAUGACUAUGACCCCUGCCCAACAAUCUUCCUUUAUGGAAAAAAGGAACCUUCUUGUGCCUCCAAUACCUGAAAAUAAUGAAAAUGCUCAUCAGAAAGAGCCAAGACCUGAACCCACAGGGCCAACUACUGGUACUGAGGCCACACCAGCUUCCAGCUCUCAGCCCAAGGAUAAAGGCAAGGCUCCAGCUACUGUGGAGGCAUAUGAAAAAGACGAUGAAGAAACUGAAGAAGAAGAGGAUCCUGAACAGUUUCGUCUGGCCAGAAGGUGGCCUGGAUCAUUUAAAAUCACUAUCUAGGCACUGCUAGGUCACUGCACUUUAUUUUAGGACUUGUGGUUCAUCUUUUGCACUACAGAACUUUUCGUUUGUUAUGUACUAAGAAUUAUAUUUCUGGUCUACUUUUCGUACAACUGGAUAUUUUCUACUAUUUUUGAUGUUAUCUGCUAUGAAUAGCUAUGUUUCUGUGUUUGUUAUGAAUGAAUGUGUUUCUGUGUUUCUGGGCAUGAAUGGACUUUUCUGAUUUAUCUGAUCUUUGUUGUCAAAAUUUUUAUUGCUAAUGGAUCACUGAUGACAAAAUUGAUUAGUUAUAAAGAAAUUGAUCAUGGCAAACCUGCUUUUGUGAUGACAAAAAGGGGGAGAAAUGUACUAGCACUAAUGGUAUAAAGAAAUUAGUUAGGGGGUGUCAGUUUUAGGGGGAGGUGCAUUUCUUUUCGUAUACUCAUUGCACUUUGUUAGGGGGAGCUGUUAUCCCAGUUUGUAUUUCUUUUUGCUCUAUCCAUGUGUUUUGUCAUCAUCAAAAAGGGGGAGAUUGUUUAUCUCAAUUCAUAUCUUUUGAUGAUUAACAAAACAAACGAAUGUUACUAAUAAUCUUUGAAGAGAAUCCUUUCAGAAAUGGCACCAAACAGGUCUGAGGUCUCAGAGCAAAAAGAAGAUCAAAAAGGUGAAAAACACUGAGGAAGAUGUCGGACGCACAAAAGGAGAGUAUCGGACGUCCGACAUCCAUUGAGUAUCUUCGGACGAAUGAAGAACUCAGACUCGGACGUCCGAAGAAGGCAAGCCAGGGCUUCUACAACUACUGAUCAUGAUCGGACGCUCAACACCUGAGCAUCGGACGUCCGACAAGCAUUGCUGCUCUUCGGACGCAACAUCUUGGAUGUAUCGGCCGUCCGAAAGAAUUAAAGAGGAACCUCCAAGUUUUCAUCUUACCCUCGGACGCAUGGCGAGAAGGGAUCGGACGUCCUAAGUGGGUCAAGAAAAUUUCUCGAACUCACUGACCUCGCUCGGACGCAUAAAAACUGACUAUCGGACGUCCGACAGCACCAACGGCUAGUUGACUUUUCAGAUGCCUUCUACCCGUUGACAACAUUAAUUGAAGAAUUUUAUGAUCUCCUAUAAAAAGAGCAAAGUCAACCACCUCAGAAGAACUUUACACAUUAAGUCUACAUCAGAUCUUGAGUGAUUCAAGUGUGUGAAUACUCCAAAAAGAAGAUUUGUACUCUUAGUUGUGUAAUCUUCUUUUAGCUUUUCAAGUGUGAUCUAAUUUCAUCAAUAAUGUAGCUUUGUGAGGGUUAUCCGUGUGAUUGUAAAAUUUCUUUGCUUGUUCGAGUGAGACUUGAGGCAAGAAGGAAGUGAUCCUUCGUUUGUACACAAGAGAUUGGUUGAAAGUUGAUCUACUGUGAAGUAGCUUGAUACAUAUACAAAGUGUUGUUCAAACUUAGUCAAGUUUGAAAUUUGAUUUGUAAAUUCCAUCCUCUCAUUUAUUGUCUUGAUAUAAAUUGCUUACUUGUUCUACUUACAAACUAUUUGUACUAAUCCAUCAACUGGUUUUCAGUAAGGUUCCUUUGAAAAAGAAAUCCAGGUCAAAGAAAAGGAGGAAAGGUGUCUCAUAUCUUGGCCUAAUUUUUAGUUAACCUAAUUCACCCCCCUCUUAGGCUAUCUUCGAUCCUUACACUUGCAUAUUCAAAAGAAUGAAACUUUCCUUGCUAGGUAGAGGAGGAACAUUAUUAUAUAUUCCUUCAAAUUUGGUUGUCAUACUUGAUAUUUUGUGCUGACCCUUAAUGGGAUUUUGGGAUACGUAUGGGCCACCAGGGAAAUUGGCUUAACAGAUGUCUGGUUUGUGUAAAAUUGCUGGUGGAUGAUAUUGGAAUUAUUGUUGAUUUAGCUGUGGUUGCAACUUACAAGUAGUCUAUUUGCUUCAGCAUUUUAACAUGGCGACUGACUUUUCAGUGGCCGCAAAUGGCCUCUGUCCAUUUUUGAGAUGUCCAAACAGUUACAUUUCAGGCUUUUGCCAGGUAUGGAAAUUUUGGAAUCGAAUUAUGAGCUCUCAGCAUGCGAUUUUCACUUAACUGAUCCCCAGCAAUUAACAGACCCACACUCUAGUAGAUAACAUUUUUAGCCACUUCAUGCAAUAUUUGAAAAUAUUUCUUGCGCAAAUAUGAGAUGUCUAACCUUCAUUGUUGUAGUCGAAUAGCAUUCCUAAUUGACCAAUUGUUACUGGUCAAUUAGUUCAUCUUAACCUGAAAGCAGGAGUAGAGUAAAUAAACAUGAUUGUGGCCCAAGUCUUCAGUUCUUUGGCUAGAUGAUAGUUAAUAUACGAUUAUGGUCUUGAUUCUUCAAUUCUUUGGAUGGAUGGAACUAUUGGCAAAUUGUUCAUUUAAUAAACAUGUUUGGUCUUGAUUCUUCUAGAAAAGAAAGGUAAAUCCUUAAAGGCGAAGGCAAGCUCUUCGAGUGUCGAACCUUGAACAUGCAUGUUACCUUUUUUGCUUUUGGGUGAUGACAGUAGAUAACAUUUUCAUGUGGAGCAUGACCGAGAAAGACAAAGGUCUAGAGAACGGAUGACUGUGUUCAUUGAUUGAUUUUUCAUUUCCCAAGUUAUUGCAUUUGUUGAUCUUCCAACUUGGUUAAGAUAGUGGUUGAUGACGAAUCAGUUGAGGCUUUCCAAAAAGGAUUUGCAAACGUGGAUUCAUAAUGUGUCAAUUGCGUCCCCAUGUUCCAACUCUUAUCCCUCUUGUGAAAAGCAAAGAUUUUUCAACUUUUUUUUUUUGACGUGAAAGAGCUGAUGGUGAAGAAAAUUAAACAUGAGCAAUGACUUUGUUUUAACUCCUCUUUCAUCACAAAAUCCUUAAUUAACACGACUUUUAGCAUAAAACUUGGCUGCUACUACUUUUCCUCUUACCUUGCCAUACAAAAUAAGCAAGAAAUUGACAAAUACCUCCUGCGUGCCCUCAUAAGUAUUAUUUGGCUUGUAUUCUCCCAAGAUAUAGGUGCCUAUCAAACUAUAAUGCGACGCAAGAAAAAUAAGAAGUAAAUAACAAAAGAAAUGUGAAAAUAAAAGCCAUAAAAUCAAACUAGUAUAGCUUACCUCUAUACAUAAGCUCUUUUUUUGUUCAAAUUACUCAACAGGAGUGUGCAUCGAAAUCAAAUUCGGUAAUUUGGAAUUUUAAAUUUGAAAUUUUUGGAAAUUUGGACAUUAGAAAAUUCGAUCAAUUUCAAAUUCGAUUUCACAAAUUCCGAAUUCAAUUUGAAAGUCGGUAAUAACUGAUUUCACCUAAUUCUGUAAUUAUAUGUAAGUUUUGCUAAACUAAAUGCCAACUUUUGUAUAAUAUAAGUUUAUAGUUAUAACAUAAUAUACAACUAACUUAAUAAGACUUAUUAUUGUAUUGUUUUAUAAUAUUAUUAUAAAUAGAUUUAAUAUUAUAUAAUAUAAAUUUUUAUAUUACAUAUAUAUUAAUAUAUAUAACACAUACGAAUUUGAAAUUGAAUAUCAAAUUAGGUAUUCGAUUCCGAUUUCGUAUUGUGAAUUCGAAAUCCAAAAUUUCGUUUUGAGAAAACAUAUUCUCAAAUUCAAACCAAAUUCGUUUAUUUUGAAAAUAAAAAAAUUCGAUUUCCUUUUCGUUUUUCGCUUUACCGAUUUCGAGAAUUCCAAAAUUCGAAUCAAACUCGAUCGAUAAAUCGAUUUUUUUUAAGUUACAUGCUCCUAUAACUCAGAAUGAAUCACUUAUUAUAUAUUUAUACUCCACCUAAGAAAGGACAUAAGAAUUUAUAACUCUCUUGUAAUAUAAAGCUAAGUUAAAAUAUCAAACUCAAGAAAAAAGAAAAAUACACGCUUACACAUUUCAUACUUUUCCCCCGUCAUUUCCCUAGAAACAAAACAAGCACCUUUAAUGUAAUAAUAAAAAUUUUAAAAAAAAUGUUCGGGGGCCAUUACAAAGGGCACAGCAAAUAUGCGGGGACACAACCAGAAAUCAAGCCAAAUUUGAGGGCAACAAGGAAGUUUAAAUAAUCGCGCUCUCUCCGUCAAAGUUGGCUGUUAAGGUUUCUUUUGCAUAUGAGUGAACUAUGAAUGAAAAUAAUCCGAAAGUACUUGCACUUGUUCCUUACUUAAGCCCUCGAAUGCCUUUCCUAGUUUUUCUUUCUCCAUUGAUCUAUUGAAACAUUGGAGAGUUUGGAUUUUGAACAAGAAAAUCUUGCAAGGGUACUCAAUAUUGAAUCGAUUGGUAUAUUUUGCACAUUAGCUUUUCAUAAGGUUUAGGUUCAUUCCAUAAGUCGACCACUCUCUUUAAAGAUUGUUCCUUUGUAAUAUUUGAUUGCAAGUAAGAAUGCAGCCUAAUACCAAACUUAAUCCAAAAAAACGUUGCUUAGUAUUUAAUUUGUUGUAUGCCUAGUCUGCCAUGCUCUGGGUAUAUGCAUGGAAGUCAAUUCCUAGAAUGCUACCAUUUACCAAAACAUUCUUGCGUGUGGUCUUCUUUCCCAAAGCACAUUUAUGCAAAAAAUAUUUAUCAAGCAUGGUAGCCAAUGGCUUCACAUUGGUGGACUGAAAAUUUAUGAGUUGUAAACGGCUUGCAAUACUGGAUGUCAUAUUGUUGAUUAGUCUUCUUAUACCAGUAGGAUUUCCAUAUUCCAGAAUGAGAUGAUAGUCCUUGAAAAUAUGAAUGGGACUGACAUCUUCCCCAUUUCUCUUCUUAAGGUGAGAAGCUCACUGGAAAUAGGAUGUGAAGCUUCUACACAGGAAGGAAGGAUUUUGCUACAUUUAGUGCUACAGGUGCCAAAGGGCACUGCUUCACCAUAAAUCAUCCUUCAGUGUUUAUUUUUUUGUAACUAUCUUCAAACCAUGAAGCUUUCUGUAGUUUUCAAAUCCUUGCGUAGCUAUCCCGCUUUUCGUGUGGUUACUGGCCCUCUACAGUCUCGUGCUUUUCAGCCUGAUUUCAUUCCCAGGGACCCCAAAUCAAAGCCCGUAAGACACAAGUAUCCUGCUUUCUUUGAUCCUUAUAGCCCUAGACCCCUAACUUCAGAUAAGAUCAUUCGGCUUGCAGAGCAGAUUGCAGCCCUGUCUCCUGAAGAGCGUAAUUUAAUUGGUCCCACGCUUAGAGACAGACUAAGGCAUCCUAAGAUUCAACCAGUUUUAGUGGAGGGCAUGGACUUGGGUCCUCAGGGAGGGUCUGGUGCUGGGUAUUCAAAGGCUGAGGAGAAGAAGGUUGAAAAAACUGCAUUUGAAAAAACUGCAUUUUAACAUGGCGGCUGACUUUUCAGUGGCCGCAAAUGGCCUCUGUCCAUUUUUGAAAUGGCCUCUGUCCAUUUUUUAGAUGUCCAAACAGUUACAUUUCAGGCUUUUGCCAGGUAUGGAAAUUUUGGAAUUGAAUUAUGAACUCUCAGCAUGCGAUUUUCACUUAACUGAUCCCCAGCAAUUAACAGACCCACACUCUAGUAGAUAACAUUUUUAGCCACUUCAUGCAAUAUUUGAAAAUAUUUCUUGCGCAAAUAUGAGAUGUGUAACCUUCAUUGUUGUAGUCGAAUAGCAUUCCUAAUUGACCAAUUGUUACUGGUCAAUUAGUUCAUCUUAACCUGAAAGCAGUAGUAGAGUAAAUAAACAUGAUUGUGGCCCAAGUCUUCAGUUCUUUGGCCAGAUGAUAGUUAAUAUACGAUUAUGGUCUUGAUUCUUCAAUUCUUUGGAUGGAUGGAACUAUUGGGAAAUUGUUCAUUUAAUAAACAUGUUUGGUCUUGAUUCUUCUAGAAAAGAAAGGUAAAUUCUUAAAGGCGAAGGCAAGCUCUUCGAGUGUCGAACCUUGAACAUGCAUGUUACCUUUUUUGCUUUUGGGUGAUGACAGUAGAUAACAUUUCCAUGUGGAGCAUGACCGAGAAAGACAAAGGUCUAGAGAACGGAUGACUGUGUUCAUUGAUUGAUUUUUCAUUUCCCAAGUUAUUGCAUUUGUUGAUCUUCCAACUUGGUUAAGAUAGUGGUUGAUGACGAAUGAGUUGAGGCUUUCCAAAAAGGAUUUGCAAACGUGGAUUCAUAAUGUGUCAAUUGCGUCCCCAUGUUCCAACUCUUAUCCCUCUUGUGAAAAGCAAAGAUUUUUCAACUUUUUUUUUUUGACGUGAAAGAGCUGAUGGUGACGAAAAUUAAACAUGAGCAAUGACUUUGUUUUAACUCCUCUUUCAUCACAAAAUCCUUAAUUAACACAACGUUUAGCAUAAAACUUGGCUGCUACUACUUUUCCUCUUACCUUGCCACACAAAAUAAGCAAGAAAUUGACAAAUACCUCCUGCGUGCCCUCAUAAGUAUUAUUUGGCUUGUAUUCUCCCAAGAUAUAGGUGCCUAUCAAACUAUAAUGCGACGCAAGAAAAAUAAGAAGUAAAUAACAAAAGAAAUGUGAAAAUAAAAGCCAUAAAAUCAAACUAGUAUAGCUUACCUCUAUACAUAAGCUCUUUUUUUGUUCAAAUUACUCAACAGGAGUGUGCAUCGAAAUCAAAUUCGGUAAUAAUAAAUUUUUGGAAAUUUGGACAUUAGAAAAUUCGAUCGAUUUCAAAUUCGAUUUCACAAAUUCCGAAUUCAAUUUGAAAGUCGGUAAUAACCGAUUUCACCUAAUUCUGUAAUUAUAUGUAAGUUUUGCUAAACUAAAUGCCAACUUUUGUAUAAUAUAAGUUUAUAGUUAUAACCUAAUAUCCAACUAACUUAAUAAGACUUAUUAUUGUAUUGUUUUAUAAUAUAAUUAUAAUUAGAUGUAUUAUUAUAUAAUAUAAAUUUUUAUAUUACAUAUAUAUUAAUAUAUAUAACACAUACAAAUUUGAAAUUGAAUAUCAAAUUAGGUAUUCGAUUCCGAUUUCGCAUUGUGAAUUCGAAAUCCAAAAUUCCGUUUUGAGAAAACAUAUUCUCAAAUUCAAACCAAAUUCGUAUAUUUUGAAAAUAAAAAAAUCCGAUUUCCUUUUCGUUUUCGCUUUACCGAUUUCGAGAAUUCCAAAAUUCGAAUCGAAUUCGAUCGAUAAAUCGAUUUUUUUUUAAGUUACAUGCUCCUAUAACUCAGAAUGAAUCACUUAUUAUAUAUUUAUACUCCACCUACGAAAGGACAUAAGAAUUUAUAACUCUCUUGUAGUAUAAAGCUAAGUUAAAAUAUCUAGCUCAAGAAAAAAAGAAAAAUACACACUUACACUUUUCAUACUUUUCCUCCGUCAUUUCCCUAGAAACAAAACAAGCACCUUUAAUGUAGUAAUAAAAAUUUAAAAAAAAAUGUUCGGGGGCCAUUACAAAGGGCACAGUAAAUAUACGGGGACACAACCAGAAAUCAAGCCAAAUUUGAGGGCAACAAGGACGCUUAAAUAAUCGCGCUCUCUCCCGUCAAAUUAGGGUUCUUAUAUUCACAUUUCUAUUUUCUACACGCUGACAAUUCACACUCUCUACCUUCACUCCUUUCCCCAGCAGAAGCCCAACAGAAUCAAUAAUAAAUUCGUAAGCCCAUUGUGUUUGUUUACAUCAGCACCAUCAUUCAUGUAAAUAUGUGCUUAGUUAUCUAAAAAAUUAUUUUUUAGCCCUUAAAUGCUUGGAUUGCAUUUCUUGUUUAUUUUCUUAAGCUUCACAAGUCCUCGUGAAUCUUUGGUGGCAGAUGCUGUAUUCUUCAUUUGAGGAGUUUUUAUUUCUGGGUUGGUAGUAAUUCUCGUAAAGUUCAAAUUUUUUAAUUGCUUCUUUCUUUUUACAUAAUAUGGUACGAAUGAUUGGGAAUUAUUCUGUGCUUAGCUAUUUUUUUCAUUUAUUUUAAAAAAUUAUAGCUUGAGAUACAGCAGUUGGCGGUUGUAGUCUAGUUUCAAUGAUUUUGUAAUAAUAGUGAAUUAUUACGGGUUAUUACAUUAAAAAUUAUGUUGUCACUGUAUUUUUUAAAUUAUCCCAAAAAAAACAAUAAAAGAAGGCGAUUGGGAAAGCCAUAAAGGAGCCAGACACUGGUAAAGUAAUUUACGAUGGCCAAAGAGUAAAAUCAAUAAAAAAAAAGGGCAUUAUUGCAAAACGGGCACUUAAAUAUCCGUCAGGGUUCUUAUUCGCGUUUGCACACGCAGACGCUUCUCACUGUCCUUCUCUGUAUUCGUUUAUGCAACCCACAAAAUCAACAAAAAAUUGGUAAGUUCAUUUGUUUGUUUAUUUAGCUGUGAAGGAUUUUUUUCCCCUGUUAAAUGGAUGAUUUAUUUAUGUUUUAAUUUCUUGAUCUUGAUUGUAGCUUGUGAACCUUUCGUUGCUAAUGCCUUAUUGUGUCUCUCAGGAGUUCUUUAUUUCUUGGUGGUUAGCUUUUCUCCAUAAAGUUUAUAUUUUGUCAUAACAAUUUGUUUCUGGUGAUUGGAUUUUAUUUUGUGCUUAGACCUAUUGAAGUUCAAUGAAAUUGUUAGUUCUGGAGCCUGAGUUAUUUAUUUUAUUUUAUUUUUCGGCUGGAACUGGUCUGAAACCCGAAUGAAGAUGGAUGUAAAAUUUGUUCCCUAAGUUGGCUGUUAAGGUUUCUUUUACAUAUGAGUCAACUAUGAAUGAAAAUAAUCCGAAAUUACUUCCACUUGUUCCUUACUUAAGCCCUCGAAUACCUUUCCUAGUUUUUCUUUCUCCUUUGAUCUAUUGAGACAUUGGAUAGUUUGGAUUUUGAACAACAAAAUCUUGCAAGGGUACUCAAUAUUGAAUCGAUUGGUAUAUUUUGCACAUUAGCUUUUCAUAAGGGUUAGGUUCAUUCCAUAAGCCGACCACUCUCUUUAAAGAUUGUUCCUUUGUAAUAUUUGAUUGCAAGUAAGAAUGCAGCCUAAUACCAAACUUAAUCCAAAAAAACGUUGCUUAGUAUUUAAUUUGUUGUAUGCCAAGUCUGCCAUGCUCUGGGUAUAUGCAUGGAAGUCAAUUCCUAGAAUGCUACCAUUUACCAAAACAUUCUUGCGUGUGGUCUUCUUUCCCAAAGCACAUUCAUGCAAAAAAUAUUUAUCAAGCAUGGUAGCCAAUGGCUUCACAUUAGUGGACUGAAAAUUUAUGAGUUGUAAACGGCUUGCAAUACUGGAUGUCAUAUUGUUGAUUAGUCUUCUUAUACCAGUAGUAUUUCCAUAUUCCAGAAUGAGAUGAUAGUCCUUGAAAAUAUGAAUGAGACUGACAUCUUCCCCAUUUCUCUUCUUAAGGUGAGAAGGUCAUUGGAAAUAGGAUGUGAAGCUUCUACACAGGAAGGAAGGAUUACAUUCAUUUGCUGCAUUUAGUGCUACAAGUGCCAAAGGGCACUGCUUUACCAGAAAUCAUCCUUCAGUGUUUAUUUUUUUGUAACUAUCUUCAAACCAUGAAGCUUUCUGUAGUUUUCAAAUCCUUGCGUAGCUAUCCCGCUCUUCGUGUGGUUACUGGCCCUCUAUAGUCUUGUGUAUUUCAGUCUAAUUUCAUUCCCAGAGGAUCCCAAAUCAAAGCCCGUAAGACACAAGUAUCCUACUUUCUAUGAUCCUUAUGGCCCUAGACCCCCACCUUCAGAUAAGAUCAUUCGGCUUGCAGAACAGAUUGCAGCCUGUCUCCUGAAGAGCGUAAUUUGAUUGGUCCCAUGCUUAGAGACAGACUAAGGCAUCCUAAGAUUCAACCAGUUUUAGUGGAGGGCAUGGACUUGGGUCCUCAGGGAGGGUCUGGUGCUGGGUCUUCAAAGGCUGAGGAGAAAAGGUUGAAAAAACUGCAUUUGAUGUCAAGUUAGAAAAGUUUGAUGCUGCUGCAAAAAUUAAGGUGAUCAAAGAGGUUCGUGCUUUCACAAAUUUGGGGUUGAAGGAAGCCAAAGAUUUAGUUGAGAAAGUACCAGUUUUAAUUAAGCAAGGUAUCACUAAAGAAGAGGCAAAUGAUAUUAUAGAGAAGAUCAAGACUGUAGGGGGAGUUGCUGUUAUGGAGUAGAUUUUCACCGAGUUUUGUAUGCUUUCUUUGAACUGUUAUCAAAGUUCUAUUGCCAGUUUUUCGCUCUGAUAGAGAAACAACUGCCAUUCUGAAGAUGUUGUUCUUGCAUAUUCAAAAGAAUGAAACUUUCCUUGCUAGUAGAGGAGGAACAUUAUUAUAUUUCCUUCAAAUUUGGUUUUCAUACUUGAUAUUUUGUGCUGACCCUUAAUGGGAUUUUGGGAUACGGAUGGGCCACCAGGGAAAUUGGCUUAACAGAUGUCUGGUUUGUGUAAAAUUGCUGGUGUAUGAUAUUGGAAUUAUUGCUGAUUUAGCUGUGGUUGCAACUUACAAGUAGUCUGUUUGCUUCAGCAUUUUAACAUGGUGGCUGACUUUUCAGUGGCCGCAAAUGGCCUCUGUCCAUUUUUGAGAUGUCCAAACAGUUACAUUUCAGGCUUUUGCCAGGUAUGGAAAUUUUGGAAUUGAAUUAUGAACUCUCAGCAUGCGAUUUUCACUUAACUGAUCCCCAGCAAUUAACAGACCCACACUCUAGUAGAUAACAUUUUUAGCCACUUCAUGCAAUAUUUGAAAAUAUUUCUUGCGCAAAUAUGAGAUGUGUAACCUUCAUUGUUGUAGUCGAAUAGCAUUCCUAAUUGACCAAUUGUUACUGGUCAAUUAGUUCAUCUUAACCUGAAAGCAGUAGUAGAGUAAAUAAACAUGAUUGUGGCCCAAGUCUUCAGUUCUUUGGCUAGAUGAUAGUUAAUAUACGAUUAUGGUCUUGAUUCUUCAAUUCUUUGGAUGGAUGGAACUAUUGGGAAAUUGUUCAUUUAAUAAACAUGUUUGGUCUUGAUUCUUCUAGAAAAGAAAGGUAAAUCCUUAAAGGCGAAGGCAAGCUCUUCGAGUGUCGAACCUUGAACAUGCAUGUUACCUUUUUUGCUUUUGGGUGAUGACAGUAGAUAACAUUCCCAUGUGGAGCAUGACCGAGAAAGACAAAGGUCUAGAGAGUGGAUGACUGCGUUCAUUGAUUGAUUUUCCAUUUCCCAAGUUAUUGCAUUAGUUGAUCUUCCAACUUGGUUAAGGUAGUGGUUGAUGACGAAUGAGUUGAGGCUUUCCAAAAAGGAUUUGCAAACGUGGAUUCAUAAUGUGUCAAUUGCGUCCCAUGUUCAAACUCUUAUCCCUCUUGUGAAAAGCAUAGAUCAAAGGAGAAAGAAAAACUAGGAAAGGCAUUCGAGGGCUUAAGUAAGGAACAAGUGCAAGUACUUUCAGAUUAUUUUCAUUCAUAGUUCACUCAUAUGCAAAAGAAACCUUAACAGCCAACUUAGGGAACAAAUUUUACAUCCAUCUUCAUUCGGGUUUCAGACCAGUUCCAGCCAAAAAAUAAAAUAAAAUAACUCAAGCGCCAGAACUGACAAUUUCAUUGAACUUCAAUAGGUCUAAACACAAAAUAAAAUCCAAUCACCAGAAACAAAUUGUUAUGACAAAAUAUAAACUUUAUAGAGAAAAGCUAACCACCAAGAAAUAAAGAACUCCUGAGAGACACAAUAAGGCAUUAGCAACGAAAGGUUCACAAGCUACAAUCAAGAUCAAGAAAUUAAAACAUAAAUAAAUCAUCCAUUUAACAGGGGGAAAAAAAGCCUUCAUAGCUAAAUAAACAAACAAAUGAACUUACCAAUUUUUUGUUGAUGUUGUGGGUUGCAUAAACGAAUACAUAGAAGGACAGUGAGAAGUAUCUGCGUGUGCAAACGCGAAUAAGAACCCUGACUGAUAUUUAAGUGCCCGUUUUGCAAUAAUGCCCUUUUUUUAUUGAUUUUACUCUUUGGCCCCGUAAAUUACUUUACCAGUGUCUGGCUCCUUUAUGGCUUUCCCAAUCGCCUUCUUUUAUUGUUUACCCUUUUUUUUUGGGAUAAUUUCAAAAAAUCUAUGAGGUUUCUCGUAAUAUCAUUCAGCUCCUUGAGGCUUGUAAAAUUUUGCUUACCUCCUCUGUGAGUUUGACGAGACUAAAUAUUCUUAUCAAAUGUCAUAAAUUGACAAUAACACCUUUGCUCUUAAUAACUAUUUAACCAAAAAGUCAAAAAGUAAAAUUGUUAAACCAAAAAAUGUAGAUUAAAACAAAAAAUGAAUUGUUAUCUAAUAAUGGUCUAUAUUUCUCUAUAUAGAGAUCGUGGUGGGACAGCAAAAGAUGUGGAUAAAUUAAAUCUAUUUAGAAUCAACCAUUCAGGAGGAUUUUGGUGAGUAAUUAAUACCUUGAAAACUUUCAUAGAUAGUUAUACGAAAGUCAAGAAAUUUUUUGGGGAAAUACAUUUUAAUACAUGAUGUAGUUUAAGUUAUGUUAAAAAUUAAAAAAACUGAAGACUUGGGCCACAAUCAUGUUUAUUUACUCUACUGCUGCUUUCAAGUUAAGAUGAACUAAUUGACUAGUAACAAUUGGUCAAUUAGGAAUGUUAUUCGACCACAACAAUGAAGGUUACACAUCUCAUAUUUGCGCAAGAAAUAUUUUCAAAUAUUGCAUGAAGUGGCUAAAAAUGUUAUCUACUAGAGUGUGGGUCUAUUAAUUGCUGGGGAUCAGUUAAGUGAAAAUCACAUGUUGAGAGUUCAUAAUUCAAUUCCAAAAUUUCCAUACUUGGCAAAAGCCUGAAAUGUAACUGUUUGGCCAUCUCAAAAAUGGACAGAGGCCAUUUGCGGCCACUGAAAAGUCUGCCACCAUGUUAAAAUGCUGAACCAAACAGACUACUUGUAAGUUGCAACCACAGCUAAAUCAGCAAUAAUUCCAAUAUCAUACACCAGCAAUUUUACACAAACCAGACAUCUGUUAAGCCAAUUCCCCUGGUGGCCCAUCCGUAUCCCAAAAUCCCAUUAAGGGUCAGCACAAAAUAUCAAGUAUGAAAACCAAUUUUGAAGGAAAAUAUAAUAAUGUUCCUCCUCUACCUAGCAAGGAAAGUUUCAUUCUUUUGAAUAUUCAAGAACAACAUCUUCAGAAUGGCAGUUGUUUCUCUAUCAAAGCGAAAAACUGGCAAUAGAACUUUGAUAACAGUUCAAUGAAAGCAUACAAAACUCGGUGAAAAUCUACUCCAUAACAGCAAUUCCUCCUACAGCCUUGAUUUUCUCUAUAAUAUCAUUUGCCUCUUCUUUAGUGAUACCUUGCUUAAUUAAAACUGGUACUUACUCAACUAAAUCUUUGGUUUCCUUCAACCCCAAAUUUGUGAAAGCACGAACCUCUUUGAUCACCUUAAUUUUUGCAGCAGCAUCAAACUUUUCUAACUUGACAUCAAAUGCAGUUUUUUCAACCUUUUUCUCCUCAGCCUUUGAAGACCAGCACCAGACCCUCCCUGAGGACCCAAGUCCAUGCCCUCCACUAAAACUGGUUGAAUCUUCGGAUGUCUUAGUCUGUCUCUAAGCGUGGGACCAAUCAAAUUACGCUCUUCAGGAGACAGGGCUGCAAUAUGUUCUGCAAGCCGAAUGAUCUUAUAUGAAGGUGGGGGUCUAGGGCCAUAAGGAUGAUAGAAAGCAGGAUACUUGUGUCUUACGGGCUUUGAUUCGGGAUCCCUGGGAAUGAAAUCAGGCUGAAAUGCACGAGACUGUAGAGGGCCAGUAACCACACGAAGAGCGGGAUAGCUACGCAAGGAUUUGAAAACUACAGAAAGCUUCAUGGUUUGAAGAUAGUUACAAAAAAAUAAACACUGAAGGAUGAUUUCUGGUGAAGCAGUGCCCUUUGGCACUUGUAGUACUAAAUGCAGCAAAUGAAUGUAAUCCUUCCUUCCUGUGUAGAAGCUUCACAUCCUAUUUCCAGUGAGCUUCUCACCUUAAGAAGAGAAAUGGGGAAGAUGUCAGUCUCAUUCAUAUUUUCAGGGACUAUCAUCUCAUUCUGGAAUAUGGAAAUCCUACUGGUAUAAGAAGACUAAUCAACAAUAUGACAUCCAGUAUUGCAAGCCGUUUACAACUCAUAAAUUUUCAGUCCACCAAUCUGAUGCCAUUGGCUACCAUGCUUGAUAAAUAUCUUUUGCAUGAAUGUGCUUUGGGAGAGAAGACCACACGCAAGAAUGUUUUGGUAAAUGGUAGCAUUCUAGGAAUUGACUUCCAUGCAUAUACCCAGAGCAUGGCAGACUAGGCAUACAACAAAUCAAUACUAAGCAACGUUUUUUUGGAUUAAGUUUGGUAUUAGGCUGCAUUCUUACUUGCAAUCAAAUAUUACAAAGGAACAAUCUUUAAAGAGAGUGGUCGACUUAUGGAAUGAACCUAACCCUUAUGAAAAGCUAAUGUGCAAAAUAUACCAAUCGAUUCAAUAUUGAGUACCCUUGCAAGAUUUUCUUGUUCAAAAUCCAAAAUAUCCAAUGUCUCAAUAGAUCAAAGGAGAAAGAAAAACUAGGAAAGGCAUUCGAGGGCUUAAGUAAGGAACAAAUGCAAGUACUUUCGGAUUAUUUUCAUUCAUAGUUCACUCAUAUGCAAAAGAAACCUUAACAGCCAACUUAGGGAACAAAUUUUGCAUCCAUCUUCAUUCGGGUUUCAGACCAGUUCCAGCCAAAAAAUAAAAUAAAAUAACUCAAGCGCCAGAACUGACAAUUUCAUUGAACUUCAAUAGGUCUAAACACAAAAUAAAAUCCAAUCACCAGAAACAAAUUGUUAUGACAAAAUAUAAACUUUAUGGAGAAAAGCUAACCACCAAGAAAUAAAGAACUCCUGAGAGACACAAUAAGGCAUUAGCAACGAAAGGUUCACAAGCUACAAUCAAGAUCAAGAAAUUAAAACAUAAAUAAAUCAUCCAUUUAACAGGGGGAAAAAAAGCCUUCAUAGCUAAAUAAACAAACAAAUGAACUUACCAAUUUUUUGUUGAUGUUGUGGGUUGCAUAAACGAAUACAGAGAAGGACAGUGAGAAGUAUCUGCGUGUGCAAACGCGAAUAAGAACCCUGACGGAUAUUUAAGUGCCCGUUUUGCAAUAAUGCCCUUUUUUUAUUGAUUUUACUCUUUGGCCCCAUAAAUUAUUUUACCAGUGUCUAGCUCCUUUAUGGCUUUCCCAAUCGCCUUCUUUUAUUGUUUACCCUUUUUUUUUUGGGAUAAUUUCAAAAAAUCUAUGAGGUUUCUCGUAAUAUCAUUCAGCUCCUUGAGGUUUGUAAAAUUUUGCUUACCUCCUCUGUGAGUUUGACGAGACUAAAUAUUCUUAUCAAAUGUCAUAAAUUGACAAUAACACCUUUGCUCUUAAUAACUAUUUAACCAAAAAGUCAAAAAGUAAAAUUGUUAAACCAAAAAAUGUAGAUUAAAACAAAAAAUGAAUUGUUAUAUAAUAAUGGUCUAUAUUUCUCUAUAUAGAGAUCGUGGUGGGACAGCAAAAGAUGUGGAUAAAUUAAAUCUAUUUAGAAUCAACCAUUCAGGGGGAUUUUGGUGAGUAAUUAAUACCUUGAAAACUUUCAUAGAUAGUUAUACGAAAGUCAAGAAAUUUUUUGGGGAAAUACAUUUUAAUACAUGAUGUAGUUUAAGUUAUGUUAAAAAUUAAAAUAAUCUCUUCAUAUGUGUGAAUUCUUCAAGGUGUAAAUUUUGCUUUGUUCCAAAACAACUAGUUUAAGUUAAAAAAUUUACAACUUAUAAAAAGUUAACCUUAUUUUAUUUUUUAUUGUUGUUGUAAACUUUAUAAAUUAAAUUGUUGUUGUAAACUAAAAUAAAAGUAUUAUCUUUCUUGCAUUUCCUCAAAGGGGCUAAAAUGCUACAAUGAAUGUCAAUUCAAAGGAGUUAAGUGAGAUUUUAAAGACAUCAGGAGAGCUGAGUGAUAUUAUGAGAAACCUCAAGAUAGGUUUCUGAAAUUAUCCCUAGUAAUAGUUAUUUAGGGAAAUGAAAAAGGGAAAGAGAACCCGAGAAUGAAUUAGUAUGUUUUAUUAUUAUUUUUUUGAAUUACUUUACAUGUUUUAUUACUUUUUUUCGAAUUUCUUUAUUUAUUGUCUUUUUUUAACUUAAUAAUAAGAGAUGACCCCCAGAUGAGAAGUUCAAGAAUUUGGCCCAUAUUUCUAAUUAACAAUUUAAGGUAGUAUCUAGUACCUCAAUUUUAUUACUCACAAUGCCUCAUCUCUUUCAUGUCCAAUUUCGUGUUCUUUUUUGCUUAAUCCAUUUUUCCUAUCUUUUUUUGUUUGUAAAUAUGUCGAUAGCUAAAUGAGAGUGUGCUACUUGUCGUUUUCUUUCUUAUUUUGUGCACCAAGGUAGGAGGUAAAGUAGUACCCAACUGUUAAUUUUGUGCUUAGACUUCUUGCUAUUUAAUAAUUGAUGAUGAUCAUAGAGCAAUGGAAUAAGAAUUAGUACAUGUAAACAAUCUUAACCACUCAGAAGAUCAACUAAGGCACUAACGUCGAAAAUGGCAAAUCAAUAAAUGAAUCAAAGCCAUCCACUACCUUGAGAGCUUUGUCUUUCUUUUUUCAGCUUUUACAUGGAAAUGGCACCCUUCGGGCAUCUGCCAUCUUUGGUAAGGACCACCACGCUUGGACCACAAAGAGUAGUACAAUAAGAGAAUUGCAAUAGUUGGAAUUUAUUACUGAUUCUGAUGAAGGUUGGAAUGUAUUACAAUAGAGUAGUACAACAAGUAUAAGUAAUGGUUGGAAUGUGUAACUGGUGUUUGGAUUGCAAAUUUAUCUCAAAUAAUAUUUCGCUUGCAUCAUAAACACAUUUUUCAAUCCACCUUUUUUAUAUUUUCAACUAAUUUUUAUCUCACAUACAUCACAUCACAAAAAGUGCUACAUUAAUUAUUUUAAAUAAUAUUUCAAAUGAUACUCUAUCCAAAUACACUAGACACACUCAGUAUUCAAAUAAUUAUUCCAAGGUUUGCAGCAGGAAUAUUUUAUGUGGCAUAACAUUAAUCUAGGCUACUUGCGAGCUAUCCCAUAAACCUGAGGAUUUGCUAUUGAGGCAGAAGACACAAAUGCCCGCUGAAGUUCAACAGAUGAGAAGACUGCUUUAGCAAUAACUUCUCCAGUUUUUCUAGUGAAGUGACAGCCAUCAGCAACAAACUGCUGCAAAGGAUCAAGAAUCCCUUGGAAAAAUCUCCGAAUUGUUCCAUCUGCCAGCAAAACAGACAAAUCAAGGCUUUGACGUUAUAAUUCAGUUAGAUGGAGGUGGCGGAGAAGUUAACAUGAAAUAAAAGCUUUCAUUAUCGCAAAUAGGAAGUACAUCUUUAUUACCUUCUGCUGCUACGUGUUCCACAAACACACAGAGCCCACCUGGCUUUAGCACCCUCAUAAUCUCUGAAAACAAUUACUAGAAUGUGUAUUAGCCCCUGCUAUCUUCUUUUCCACUCGAUAUACACUGAGCAGUACAAACCUAGCCACUGAGGCGUAUAUGACAUGUUCUUCCAACAAGAAGUAGACCAUUCAUAUUUUCUUAAGAAAAACCUUUAGAUGCUGCAUGCUAAAAUUGUAAAUUUUAUCUACCAAAGUUUGAGUGUCUCAUACAGGAAUUAACCUACCUUGCAGCGCCAAGUCAACAUCUUUGACAGAACAUAGGACAAGUGUGGCCACUACAGCAUCCACAGAUGCAUCACCAAGGGGCAGAGCCUCAGCAACCUGCACAAUUCAAUGGUCAGACACUCCCAUUGCAAAAUUAACUCCGAGGGAUAAAUGAGCUUCAAAUGAGCUGUGACUAAUAAGUCUGCAACAACAGACGGAAGAGGCAUCUAAAGUGGAUCGUUGACCAAUAUCAACACCAAGAAAAUCCUAAGCUCAAGCCAAAAGCAUUUGACAGGAACUAUAUGCAACUGCCUAAUCUCAAACAGACAGAGCAGAUAUCUUGGCAUCUGAUGUCCAAGAUAUAACUUAAAUGAAGGAAAGAAGCUUUCAUAAAUGAAGCAACUGGGUAAAUAAGGUAAGACAGGAAAAGCUCAUAAACGAGGCAUAAAAAUCAUCAUUUCUUGCACCAUAAGAUUAGGUAUGUGCACCAGUCAUAUCAACUUUAGAUGAAAACCAAGCAUGCUAUCGACAUACACAAAUUAGCUUUUGGCUGUGGCCUUCUGAAAACCAAAAUUCAGCUUUCAAACAGUUAAUCAGCCAUGCAAAGAUACUGUUAUCUUGCAGACAUGAAAAAGACAUCGCUAAUAGAAGCCAUCUGAUUCACCAUAGACAGGCUCAUACUGCUUGUGUAAAUUUAAAGUGAACUACGCCUUUCUGGUGGCUGCCGUGCAUUUGCUACUGGUGGUAAUAGAGGUUUUUGCGAAGAAGGGAGUACUUCAGGAGUGUAUCUUCUUGUUAAUGAAGAAGAGAUAAAUGAGCUGCCUAAACGUGAUAACGUAGGCGUCCCCAGGAAGUUAAGACUUGGAGAUGGUACACUGCUGUAUAAAUCGAUGGACUGCCUGAUACAAGGAUAUGAGAUACCAAGCAUUAUCAACCAGAGUUUGAACACAGUCCAAGUGAGAUGACUAAUGUAACCAUUUCUCAAAUAUAUAAUCCAGUUGUGCAAGUUUAAAACAAAUUAACAAAGAACCAUUGGAAUUGAUUCUAAAUCUUAAAAGCUAAGAGCCAAAUUAUUUGCAGCUGGUAGAAUUGCACAUGAGGGAGUGAUGGUUGUACUCUUGAUCAAACCAGUAUGUUUUAUCCUCUCCAAAAACAACUGAAAACUGAUGCAAAUAAGAAACGCUGGUACAUGAUUGGAGGAGGAGAGUGGAUCUCUGGCACUUAUUUCAAUCAAAAUAUCUAGCAGACGGUCUAAAAGUUGGUAUAGUUCUGGCCAGAUGUUAUGACACACCAAAGUUAUGGAAAUUGGUUCAGUCUAAAGCCCAUGAAAUGAAUACUCUGGAUGUGGUUUGGAAACUUCUCUUCCAGAAUCAGCGGUUCGAUGAAAGGUAAUAUCCAAAAUAUGGUUUCUACCAUUGAUAAAUGUAGUAACGACAAAUACAACUCCUUCACUUCCAAAGAUGGUUCACAGGGAUUAACCACCAGUCCCUCAUGACGAAGGAAAAUCUUUUCAAUAGAGGCAGUAGUCAGCAAUAUAAGUGCAUCCUACCAAGUUCCGCUAAGCUGAAGAAGGAUCCAGGGAAGACAUAAAAUGCUCUGGCCUUUUGAUAACAUUACAUAGCCUACCUUAAGCCCAUAGCUAUCCUUUACUGAUGUUACUGGAUCCAUUCAAACUCAUAAACUAUUGAUAUUCAUGGCCGAAACAGAAUGAAAAUACUUGAAGAAGCUCCAAAAUAUGAAUGAUGAAAGCAUUUCAAUCCCAUUUCUAAAUAUCUCUCCUAGCCAAAAAUGAAUAGGUAAAGCUAAACAUCCGGUACCAUAUAAAUAUAACAGCUUUCAAGAAACCAAGUGCUUCACUGCUAAAUACAGAAUCUGCAGAACAAGAACAGAACAAACGUAGAGAACACCAUAGCUAGAUGUAGAAAGAAACAAAUAUAGAUAUGUGCGAUAAGAUGAUACCACCUGUAAAUUUGAGGCCAAGAGGUGGUGAUAGAUUUGCUCUCCGGCCUUUCGUCCUCAUUAUCAUUAGAAUAACUGCUAGAAUCAGAAUUAUUUCCAUCUUCACUAUCUUCUUUCUCCAGUGCCUAAAAUCAGUGCUAGCUGCAAAAAAGCUAAGCUCUUCAGAAGCCUAAAAUCAGAACAAAAUUCGCUUAGCAUCAGAGGCAGCAACUAAAGUACAGAACAAAAGAGAGGGUUGCCCCUCUAGAAUUCAACACUUCUCUCUGUAACAUUAUUCAGCAAUAUAGCAGGUUGUUUACAGAAUUUGGACUAUUAAACAACUUUUAUUGCUAGUAACAACAAAGAAAUUUUAAAAUAUAACAGAAAAUCGGCCCUCAAAAAUCUCAAAUACACCACGGGUGCAAAUUAUAUAGCUUUGAACUGUACCUGGCAAAUUCAGAGUUUCAAAGAUAUUCCCUUGCAAUCAGUAACAAAAUUUAACCUUAAUGCACGUAUGACAAUAUGAGCAUAUAAGCAGAGGUGAAUAAGCUACACCCAGAACACUACAUUCCAUUUCCUAUACAUAUCUAUGCACACGCUCACUUUGUUUUGCAUCUUUGCCUGUACAUGAUAUGUAUGCAUAUGUGUAUAAAUACACAUAUACAUAUAUAAUAUGCAUACACACACGUGUAGAUUGAUGCAUAUAUGCAAAUGUCACCAUGGUAUCAGCAAAAAAGUGUCUCAUGCGCUGAUUAUCAGAAUUCAACUCUCACUAAGAAACAGAUUAUAUACUUAGAAAAUCACACCAAAAUUUUGGAAGCAUUCAAUUUAAAGCUAUCAACUGCUUUUUUUCAUCAGUAACAACUACUUCUCCAAAGAAUUAACUGAUGUAGAAGCAUCAAACAACUCAAAUCUUUACCUACAAAAUGAGCUGGCUGAUAGAAAUGAACAUCACAUCUCAUUAAUGCUUCUUGUUAAUGCUGCAAAACAGCCAAUGUUCCACUAACAUUCGGCUAAGGCUUGCAAUAAUCAACAACCAGUUCUAGUAAAUAAAUUGACUUCAAUUUACAACCAAACUCUGUUAGAAACCAUCUAUUCAGUUCUCUAAUACAGUCUUUCGACUAAUUUUGCCGGAAUAAAACCGAUAGAAACGAAUGGAUAUUCAAACUUGGAAGAGUGAUAUAUGUUAAAAGCCUCUAUCACUCCAGUUAGGGUCUGUGUACACCUCUGAAUUCAGUAAACUUGAAAAAAAAAUAGACAAAUAGAGUCACUUUCCUAUAAUAGAACUCCAAGAAUUACAUGUAACUCCCUAUAAAAAAACUGUAAUCACUGACCAGCUAGUUCAAGCUUCUGUCUACAUCUUGGGUUUAUAAGUCCAAACCAUCUGCAGCAGAAAAUUAGAAUCCUAAACAUUAGAAACAAUGGAAAUCUGAUAGUAGCAAAACUAACAAAACGAAUACCCAUUCAGCAGAUACAAGUUUUCACAGUACGGCAAUUAAGAAAAAAUUUCUUUAGAAACAAGAAACACACGUGACCUUGAAAAUUUUCUUGUAGCAGUAUAUGCUCAAUAAAACAAUGAAUAUCAAGCUGAUGUGUGUACCUUCUCAAAAGUAGAUGUACAGGCUUGGAGCAAGCUACUUCGUUCUCCCAAACUCACUGGGUUCUGUUUAUUUACUCUUCCACAUCCUAUUCCUCUGCUUCCUCCACAUCCAAAAUACCAAUAAGGAAAAUUCUAAACCUUUUUUUUUUUUGCAAAAUCAACAGCAUGAUUACAAAAUCAAGCCCUUUUUACAAAAAAGAAAAACAAAGAGACCAAAAAAGAAGUCUUUUUGAGUACAAUGCAUUGUUAAUGAGUAUAAUGCAUAACCAUUAUGAGAAAAGAUAUCCUCCCCAAGAAUAAUUCAAACUGAACCUCCCAGCUUCAUAUAUGAUUCAGAAAUUGGUAAAAUUAACAAUUUCAACAUUAACCAAAACUUCGUCAAAACCACAAAUAGCACAUAAAUCAGAAAUUUGAAAUUCAAAGUUAAGGUAAUCUAGAAACAUGACCGCAAAAUAAAAAGAAAAGACGAUAACCUGAAAAGCUAAAUCUUUUUCUCCUCCUUUUAGUAUUUCCUUGUGAUUUUCCUCAAUCUAUCAAAUAGGCGGCAAUCUAAGAUUAUGAGGAGCAGAAAAACUAAAGAAGUAAGCAAAAAUUUAAGAAAUGAAAAGGAAGCAGAAACUUGAAGGUCCAAUCUAGUGUAAAAUUGGAAAAAUGACAGGGAAAUAAAUCAAAAAAAUUCACAACCUGAAAAGUUAAAUUUUUUUUCUCCUUUCAGUAGAUAUUCCUUCCAUUUUUUCAAACUGUUUUCACAUUUAAAUACUAUAACGUUGAGAUACCAAGAACCAUACACCACAUACAUUAAACAAAAUGACUUCACCAAUAAUGACUAACCAUAGAAAAAAGGGUUUUAAAAAUCUCAUUUGGCAAAUUCACAUACAAAGGAAAUAAAAGCACAAGUAAGAUAUUGUCAAUAAUAUUAAAAAAAAAAACCAAAAAAGUAUAAAUAAACAAUUAUUAUCAGACUAAACUUGGCUGUUUUAUCUUACAAUUACUACGGGCAGAAUCGACUACUAUUGUAGGCAAUGAACCACAUAGUUCAGUUGUCAACUCUGCUUUACCCAACUUGCUCACAAACGCUUCUAGAACAAAGGCCACGUAAUUAAAUGAUAAUGCUCAAAAUGUAAAAGCAUUUGCUAAAAAUUUGAUCUUCUAGUUUUUAAAACAUUAAUGAGAUGUUAUGAAGAUUAAGAUGCAAAGAAGAAAAGUAAGUUUGUAAAAUCUACCCAAUAAAUUGAAGAAACAAAAUGUCCAACCUAACCAUGCUAUAAUAAUAACCAAAGUAAUAGGCUCUUUGAAGAGCUAAGAGAACUGGAAAAAAGAAAAAAGAAAUAACAGGCCAGAAAAGAAAUUACCCCAGUCCAAAUCAUAAUUCGAGAGUAGAAAAGGCAAAGAAAAUUAUAAGGCACAACUAUUCAAUAUGUUAUUUUUAACUUUCACAAGCAAAUGUAUCAACCCCGUGGAAGUUUCUAUUCUAACUUCCUAACCUUCAACCAGCACCUUCUUGUUGAGGAAAACAAUCUCUUCAUAGAAUCAAAUAAACAAAAGAACGCAAUUAGUAUAUAAUCUAAAUAUGUUAAUUUUCCUAUCAGCAUAUAAAUUUAAGAAUUUAGGGAAGGGAAAAAAAUUCUCUUAUUCAGGGAAAAAAUAAAAAAAAAGGGAUAAAUCAAUUUAAGUCCAUUGAAAUAAAUGAAGUUUUUUUGUCCAAAAAAGAAACCAAUAACAAAAUCAAAAUUUUUGAAAAAAAGGGGGACCCAGUACAUUAGGCAUUAGAAUCCGCCAAGAAAUGAGGGAAAAAUUACACUACAAUCAGAGCGGCAGACAAAAUUUGCAAGCCCAAAAAUAACGGCGAGAAAAGUGGAGUUGUAUAAAGCAUUAAGGAAACCACCGGGAUAAAGUAGAAGCUUGUAGUGUAAAAUUGAUGUUGAACCCAUAGCCAAAUAUUUUAAAGCAAAACAGGAAAUCUUUUAUGACUUCCGGCAAGGGUGAUUUACCAUACAUAUAGAUUGAAAGCGAAACAAGGUAAAAGAUACUUAAAACCAUGAAACUUUCCUCAAAUUUCUGUAAAAUUAUUGAGUUUUUAUGAAUUUUGAUGCAUUACAUGGUUAAAAGAAAUUACCUAAGCAACGCAAGAAAACAACCCAAAAAUAAUGAAAUUGAAGUUCACCUCAGGAAAUUUCCUUUCCUCUCCAAAAAUGGUACAAGAAAGACAGUAGCAGCUGCAUAGACCUAGAGAAUGAAGAAACCCAAAAUUAUUUAAGGAAAAUGAUAAAGCUGAAUGAAGAAACAAAGAAAAGCCAAAAUUUUGUUUAAGUAGAAAAUAAAUCAAAAUAUCAUACCAAGAAAAUGCGCGAGGCCUUCAAGACCUUCUGGAUCACUAAAAGAACCUACUCCAACAUUCAUUAAAUACUAAAUCAACAAAAGAAAUUAAGCAGGGUGAAAAAGAAGAAACCGGAUGGAUUGAAAUUUAGUACCUUAUCAGUUUCUGGAUAGCUGAUGAGGAGGACCUCGAGAGCGUUGUGAAGAACGAUUCUUCGGUAGUCUCUUUUGUCGGUGCGAGGCUUCACGAUCCCUCUGACUUCCUGCUCGUUCCUGGCUCCAAACGCCAUUUUUCUUCUCGGCAGGAACCAGAGACAGAGAGAGCGAGAAGAAGCUGAGAAGAACAAUAAGCUGGAAAGCGAGCAAAACCAACAGAACAGGAGAAGAGAAGGCUCAAUUUUCUAAAGUCUGACAGCAAAAGUAAAAAGCUAUUGUAAAAUGACUAUGUUAGACAUAAGUUGAAAAUAUAUAGUCCAUUCAAUGACUAUUUUGAAGGAGCAAAAUGUAAUUAAACAACGCAAAAUGAGCUGGCUCCAAAAAAUGAACAUCACGUCUCAUUAAUGCUUCUCGUUAAUGCUGCAAACACCCAAUGUUCCACUAAGAGUAGUUAAUUAAUUAGUUAAGUUAAGCAGUUAAUUAGUUAAUUAGUUAACAUGCAAAUAGUUUGUUAGUUUCGGACAGACAAUAGCUUUAGUUAAUUAGUUAAUUAGAUAAAUAGAAAUUAGUUAAUUAGUUAAUUAAUUAAUUAGAUAAUUAGUUAGUUAAUUAGUUAAUUAGUUAAUUAGUUAAUUAGUUUUACAUGUAAAUAGUUUGUUAGUUUUGGAUGGACAACAGCUUUAGUUAAUUAGUUAAUUAGAUAAACAAAAAUUAGUUAAUUAGUUAAUUAAUUAAUUAGAUAAUUAGUUAGUUAAUUAAUUAAGUAGUUAAUUAGUUAAUUAGUUUAACAUGCAAAUAGUUUGUUAGUUUCGAACAAACAACAACUUUAGUUAAUUAGUUAAUUAGUUAAAUAGCUAAUUAGUUAAUUAGUUUAACAUGCAAAUAGUUUGUUAGUUUCGGAUAGACAACAACUUUAGUUAAUUAGUUAAUUAGAUAAACAAAAAUUAGUUAAUUAGUUAAUUAAUUAAUUAGAUAAUUAGGUAGUUAAUUAGUUAAGCAGCUAAUUAGUUAAUUAGUUUAACAUGCAAAUAGUUUAUUAGUUUCGGACAGACAACAGCUUUAGUUAAUUAGUUAAUUAGAUAAAUAGAGAUUAGUUAAUUAGAUAAAUAGAAAUUAGUUAAUUAGUUAAUAGUUAAUUAGAUAAUUAGUUAAUAGUUAAUUAGUUUAAUUAUGCAGAAAUAGUUUGAUUAGUUAAUAACUAUUAACAAUUAGAUAAUUAGUUAAUUAGUUAAUAGUUAAUUAGAUAAUUAGUUAUUAAUUAAUUAGAUUAUUAGUUAUUUAGUUAAUUAGUUAAACUAUGCAGAAAUAGUUAAUUUAGUGUAAUUUUUAUUAACAAAUGUUUUGUUGGGUUUGAUGAAAGUACUAAUCACAUUCAUUUGGUAAAAUUAAAUCAUGUCAGGGGUACUUUAGUAAGUUGACCCACUUUUGCCUAUUAAAUUGCCUCCAACUUUUGAUAGGGGAGGUCAGUGCUAUUUCAAAAUUGAUAGGGGAGGUCAAUGCUAUUACUAUAAAAGUCAGGAGAGGUUUUUGCAAUUAUCCCAAAAAACAAUGCAAUCCUCUGCAGAGUGUUUCUCUCACCAACAAGAUAAACAAUAACCAAGACAGCUAAAAUAUUCUUCUUAUGCGCCAACCUUUCCCUUGAAGAGUGGAUAAGCCUGGUUUAAAUUCAACACGACGUGAGUUAAGAAAAAUUUAUGGCAAAGACCUACGAUUCAAACCGAAAGCCUGAAAUGACAUUUACCAGAAGAUCAAUGUCACAAAAUCACAAAGAAAAGUAUAGGGAUAAUUGCAGAAACCUCCCCUAACUUUUAUGACCCCCCUAUCAAUUUUGAAAUAACACUGACCUCCCCUAUCAAAAGUUGGAGGCAAUUUAAUAGGCAAAAGUGGAUCAAUUUACUAAAGUACCCCUGACAUGAUUUAAUUUUACCAAAUGAAUGUGAUUAGUACUUUCAUCAAACCCAACAAAACAUUUGUUAAUAAAAAUUACACUAAAUUAACUAUUUCUGCAUAGUUUAACUAAUUAACUAAAUAACUAAUAAUCUAAUUAAUUAAUAACUAAUUAUCUAAUUAACUAUUAACUAAUUAACUAAUUAUCUAAUUGUUAAUAGUUAUUAACUAAUCAAACUAUUUCUGCAUAAUUAAACUAAUUAACUAUUAACUAAUUAUCUAAUUAAUUAAUUAACUAAUUAACUAAUUUCUUUUUAUCUAAUUAACUAAUCUCUAUUUAUCUGAUUAACUAAUUAACUAAUUAUCUAAUUAACUAAUUAACUAAAGCUGUUGUCUGUCCGAAACUAAUAAACUAUUUGCAUGUUAAACUAAUUAACUAAUUAGCUGCUUAACUAAUUAACUACCUAAUUAUCUAAUUAAUUAAUUAACUAAUUUUUGUUUAUCUAAUUAACUAAUUAACUAAAGUUGUUGUUUAUCCGAAACUAACAAACUAUUUGCAUGUUAAACUAAUUAACUAAUUAACUGCUUAACUAAUUAACUAAUUAACUAAAGCUGUUGUUUGUCCGAAACUAACAAAAUAUUUGCAUGUUAAACUAAUUAACUACUUAACUAAUUAACUAACUAAUUAACUAAUUAACUAAUUAAUUAAAGCUGUUGUCUAUCCGAAACUAACAAACUAUUUACAUGUUAAACUAAUUAACUAAUUAACUAACUAAUUAUCUAAUUAAUUAAUUAACUAAUUAAUUAAUUUCUAUUUAUCUAAUUAACUAAAGCUAUUGUCUGUCCGAAACUAACAAACUAUUUGCAUGUUAAACUAAUUAACUAAUUAACUGCUUAACUAAUUAACUAAUUAAUUAACUAACUAAUUAACAAACUAUUUGCAUAUUAAACUAUAUGCAGUACGCAUUACCUAUUUAAAGUAUCGGCUCUUUAUAGGUAUUUUACUUUCAAACAUUUAAUUUAUGAUAAAAACAUGAAUGUUUGUAAGUAAAAUUCAACAAGUGUUACAAAAAAUAUCAAUAUUCUUACUUUCAAACAUUUAAUUUAUGGCCCUAUGCCCCUCCAUUUUUGUAAGAAUAUUACUGUAACACUUGUUGAAUUUUACUUACAAACAUUGAUGUUUUUAUCAUAAAUUAAAUGUUUGAAAGUAAAAUACCGAUAAAGAGCCGAUACUUUAAAUAGGUAAUGCGUACUGCAUAUAGUUUAACAUGCAAAUAGUUUGUUAAUUAAUUAGUUAAUUAGUUAAGCAGUUAAUUAGUUAAUUAGUUUAACAUGCAAAUAGUUUGUUAAUUUCGGAUAGACAAUGGCUUUAGUUAAUUAGAUAAAUAGAAAUUAGUUAAUUAGUUAAUUAAUUAAUUAGUUAAUUAGUUAAUAGUUAAUUAGUUUAACUAUUAACUAAUUAGAUAAUUAGUUAAGCAAUUGUCAAGCAAAUAAUAAUUGUCAAGCAAGAAGAGGGCAAAAUUGGAAGAAAUUUCUUAUCUCACUUCUACAAAAGCUGUCAAGGAGGUUUCUGCAACAAAUUGUUACUGUUCAGGGGAGUUGAAUGCAAUUUCUAAACCUAGAGGGGAGGUCAGUGCAAAUGUCAGAAAUCUCAGGGAGGUUUCUACAAUUAUCCCAAAAGUAUAAACUUUUUCUUCCUCAAGUCGAAUGACACGAGCAAAGCUAGUCAACAUUCAAAAGAUGCCUUAAAAAAAUUUAAAAAACAGCAAAUGUCUACACACAAAGGAAAACUUUUCUUUUCCACAUCAUUUGCCCCCUCUGGAAUUUUCCCCCUUUUUGGCUUUAGUUUUCUUAUGAUUAUGAGCACAGCUAAAAAUACUCAGCUAUAGUGACAACAUAAUUUUUAAUGUAAUAACCCGUAAUAAUUCACUAUUAUUACAAAAUCAUUGAAACUAGACUACAACCGCCAACUGCUGUAUCUCAAGCUAUAGUUUUUUAAAAUAAAUGAAAAAACAGCUAAGCACAGAAUAAUUCCCAAUCAUUCGUACCAUAUUAUGUAAAAAGAAAGAAGCAAUUAAAAAAUUUGAACUUUACGAGAAUUACUACCAAUCCAGAAAUAAAAACUUCUCAAAUAAAGAAUACCGCAUCUACCACCAAAGAUUCACGAGGACUUGUGAAGCUUAAGAAAAUAAACAAGAAAUACAAUCCAGCAUUAAAGGACUAAAAAACAAUUUUUUAGAUAACUAAGCACAUAUUUACACGAAUGAUGGUGCUGAUGUAAACAAACACAAUGGGCUUACAAAUUUAUUAUUGAUUCUGUUGGGCUUCUGCUGGGAAAGGAGUGAAGGUUGAGAGUGUGAAUUCUCAGCGUGUAGAAAAUAGAAAUGUGAGUAUAAGAACCCUAAUUUGACGGAGAGAGCGCGGUUAUUUAAGCGUCCUUGUUGCUGACAUACCCUCAAAUUUGGCUUGAUUUCUGGUUGUGUCCCCGUAUAUUUACUGUGCCCUUUGUAAUGGCUCCCGAACAUUUUUUUAAAAAUUUUUAUUAUUACAUUAAAGGUGCUUGUUUUGUUUCUAGGGAAAUGGCGGAGGAAAAGUAUGAAAAGUGUAAGUGUGUAUUUUUCUUUUUUCUUGAGCUUGAUAUUUUAACUUAGCUUUAUACUACAAGAGAGUUAUAAAUUCUUAUGUCCUUUCGUAGGUGGAGUAUAAAUAUAUAAUAAGUGAUUCAUUCAGAGUUAUAGGAGCAUGUAACUUAAAAAAAAUCGAUUUAUCGAUCGAGUUUGAUUCGAAUUUUGGAAUUCUCGAAAUCGGUAAAGCGAAAAACGAAAAGGAAAUCGAAUUUUUUUAUUUUCAAAAUAUACGAAUUUGGUUUGAAUUUGAGAAUAUGUUUUCUCAAAACAAAAUUUUGGAUUUCGAAUUCACAAUACGAAAUCGGAAUUGAAUACCUAAUUUGAUAUUCAAUUUCAAAUUCGUAUGUGUUAUAUAUAUUAAUAUAUAUGUAAUAUAAAAAUUUAUAUUAUAUAAUAAUAAAUCUAAUUAUAAUAAUAUUACAAAACAAUACAAUAAUAAGUCUUAUUAAGUUAGUUGUAUAUUAUGUUAUAACUAUAAACUUAUAUUAUACAAAAGUUGGCAUUUAGUUUAGCAAAACUUAUAUAUAAUUACAGAAUUAGGUGAAAUCAGUUAUUACCGACUUUCAAAUUGCAUUCGGAAUUUGUGAAAUCGAAUUUGAAAUCGAUCGAAUUUUCUAGUGUCCAAAUUUUCAAAAAUUUCAAAUUUAAAAUUCCAAAUUACCGAAUUUGAUUUCGAUGCACACUCCUGUUGAGUAAUUUGAACAAAAAAAAGAGCUUAUGCAUAGAGGUAAGCUAUACUAGUUUGAUUUUAUGGCUUUUAUUUUCACAUUUCUUUUGUUAUUUACUUCUUAUUUUUCUUGCGUCGCAUUAUAGUUUGAUAGGCACCUAUAUCUUGGGAGAAUACAAGCCAAAUAAUAUUUAUGAGGGCACGCAGGAGGUAUUUGUCAAUUUCUUGCUUAUUUUGUGUGGCAAGGUAAGAGGAAAAGUAGCAGUAGCCAAGUUUUAUGCUAAAAGUCGUGUUAAUUAAGGAUUUUGUGAUGAAAGAAAAGUUAAAACAAAGUCAUUGCUCAUGUUUAAUUUUCUUCACCAUCAAUUCUUUCACGUCAAAAAAAAAUUGAAAAAUCUUUGAUUUUCACAAGAGGGAUAAGAGUUUGAACAUGAGGACGCAAUUGACACAUUAUGAAUCCAUGUUUGCAAAUCCUUUUUGGAAAGCCUCAACUCAUUCGUCAUCAACCACUACCUUAACCAAGUUGGAAGAUCAACUAAUGCAAUAACUUGGGAAAUGGAAAAUCAAUCAAUGAACGCAGUCAUCCACUCUCUAGACCUUUGUCUUUCUCGGUCAUGCUCCACAUGGAAUGUUAUCUACUGUCAUCACCCAAAAGCAAAAAAGGUAACAUGCAUGUUCAAGGUUCGACACUCGAAGAGCUUGCCUUCGCCUUUAAAGAUUUACCUUUCUUUUCUAGAAGAAUCAAGACCAAACAUGUUUAUUAAAUGAACAAUUUCCCAAUAGUUCCAUCCAUCCAAAGAAUUGAAGAAUCAAGACCAUAAUCGUAUAUUAACUAUCAUCUAGCCAAAGAACUGAAGACUUGGGCCACAAUCAUGUUUAUUUACUCUACUACUGCUUUCAGGUUAAGAUGAACUAAUUGACCAGUAACAAUUGGUCAAUUAGGAAUGCUAUUCGACUACAACAAUGAAGGUUAGACAUCUCAUAUUUGCACAAGAAAUAUUUUCAAAUAUUGCAUGAAGUGGCUAAAAAUGUUAUCUACUAGAGUGUGGGUCUGUUAAUUGCUGGGGAUCAGUUAAGUGAAAAUCGCAUGCUGAGAGUUCAUAAUUCUAUUCCAAAAUUUCCAUACCUGGCAAAAGCCUGAAAUGUAACUGUUUGGACAUCUAAAAAUGGACAGAGGCCAUUUGCGGCCACUGAAAAGUCAGCCACCAUGUUAAAAUACUGAAGCAAACAGACUACUUGUAAGUUGCAACCACAGCUAAAUCAGCAAUAAUUGCAAUAUCAUCACCAGCAAUUCUACACAAACCAGACAUCUGUUAAGCCAAUUUCCCUGGUGGCCCAUCCGUAUCCCAAAAUCCCAUUAAGGGUCAGCACAAAAUAUCAAGUAUGACAACCAAAUUUGAAGGAAUAUAUAAUAAUGUUCCUCCUCCACUUAGCAAGGAAAGUUUCAUUCUUUUGAAUAUGCAAGAACAACAUCUUCAGAAUGACAGUUGUUUCUCUAUCAGAGCGAAAAACUGGCAAUAGAACUUUGAUAACAGUUCAAUGAAAGCAUACAAAACUCGGUGAAAAUCUACUCCAUAACAGCAACUCCUCCUACAGCCUUGAUUUUCUCUAUAAUAUCAUUUGCCUCUUCUUUAGUGAUACCUUGCUUAAUUAAAACUGGUACUUACUCAACUAAAUCUUUGGUUUCCUUCAACCCCAAAUUUGUGAAAGCACGAACCUCUUUGAUCACCUUAAUUUUUGCAGCAGCAUCAAACUUUUCUAACUUGACAUCAAAUGCAGUUUUUUCAACCUUUUCUCCUCAGCCUUUGAAGACCAGCACCAGACCCUCCCUGAGGACCCAAGUCCAUGCCCUCCACUAAAACUGGUUGAAUCUUCGGAUGUCUUAGUCUGUCUCUAAGCGUGGGACCAAUCAAAUUACGCUCUUCAGGAGACAGGGCUGCAAUAUGUUCUGCAAGCCGAAUGAUCUUAUAUGAAGGUGGGGGUCUAGGGCCAUAAGGAUCAUAGAAAGCAGGAUACUUGUGUCUUACGGGCUUUGAUUUGGGAUCCCUGGGAAUGAAAUCAGGCUGAAAUG